rnacentral:lncRNA from 1 species
UGGGUAUUAUUUUAAUGUUGCAUUUAUUUGCAUAAUUUGACAACCCUGCAUACCAAGGUAUCCACUUCAGGGACUCUAACGAAAUGAUUCACACAGGCGUUGGUUCACCACAUGGAGUUUAAUUUGUUAUUAUUUUUUUGUGAACCCCUGCAUCCGAAAGGAACCGCCUUGCUACACGCGCCGAUCUACAGGCCACCAGCAUUUACAUGGACCAAGGAAUAUUACAUACUUGCGACGAAAUAACAACUGAACCAAGAUGACCAAGAUGUCCGAUACCACCUUAACAUCUAUAAAUGAUAGCAGAUAUAAAUGAUAGCAGAAGAAAUGUACCAUGGGCGCCGAUCUUAAAGGAACUUGCUUGGAAUUCAUAACCAUGCCAUUAAACAGACCAACUACUGCAGACGAUCCAACAAUUAUAUAGAGUCACCAAAUAAUUUACAAGGGAGCAAUUUUUGACAAUUUUAUUUUCCAUAGCGGCAACCAUAAUCUUCCUAUUGUUGCCAACGGUUAGGAAGUAGUAACUUCCAACAAUGGCCAGGUUGGAAGAGAAGCCUUGUGAAGUGGUAGGAACCAUGGGAAGUUCGUCCAAUUAGAUACCAAGCCUUCAGAACAAUUUCAUGUAUCAUAUAAUAGUAAAACGAACUCAAAUUACUUUGUAAACAAACUUUAAUUUUCUAUAUUUAUCUUAUCUAUUUAUAACUCUGUAUUGCUACUUUCACUUUUCAUUGUUUCUCUCACCAUGAACUCAAUUCAAUGCACCACUUUGAGUAUACAGGGAUUAAUUUCUGUAUAAAAAUUGUCCUGAUGAACCUGCCUUGCAGGCGAAACAUGUAGACCAUAGCAAAUAAAAUUGCAGACCAUUCGAAGUGUUGUUGUCAAUUUUGGGUAUUAUUGUAUUAAUCUUUGAAAGUGUGUAAAUGAUAUUUUAUUAUGUAUACUUAUAAUAAUAAUGCAUGUAUAAAUAAUGUAAUAACAAUUGUACCUAUUGUAAUUAUAUAAGUUAAAGCUAAUUUCACAACUUCUAGGUGAAGUAUCAAUAUUAUAAAAACUUUUAAUUUAUUUUAGCAGAUGGAAAAAUAGCUAUGGAAACGUAGGUCAUAGGUCCUUAUGGUAUUUAUUUUAGGUUAUGGUCUGAAAAUUGUAAAAAAAAUAUGAUAUGGACCUAUGGAAAUACUGCCAAACGUUCCUUAACAACCACCUGCUGUUACUGACCUAUUUUCACUGUCUUAAAAGCCCAGGAUCAGCAACUUUCUAAAAAGUGGAAUUGUGCUACCAUUUUGAUGAUCAAUGUGGACAUUACUUACAUUUAAUCUUGGCUGAUUUUUUUGCAAGGGUUGCAUAGUCUAGGAUUGUGGAAUGUUGAUAUUCAAACAAUCGGCAAUUCCUUAGCAAAUCCACUAGAACUGAAUGGACCAAGUUUAGACAAUUGAUAACCAUAAAAAAAGAUAAUCAGGAAGCCAAAUAUCACUUAUAGCUAAUUACAUUUAUUUUAAAGUUCAACUCGAUUGGAUUGAACAGAGCUAUUGUCAAUACAAUGUAAUGUGAUUGUGACAAAAUUGCUAAAAAUGAUGAUGAUGAUGUUAAUGAUUUCAUAACAUAAUUAGCAUGUCUAGCAAAAUAGAAUUUUCGUGACAGUAAUAUAGGAACAAGCGAUCAAUCAUCAAACUAUAUUUUUAAUUUAAUAAAAAAUAUUUGUAAGACAUUGCAUGAGGAAACAAUUUAUAUAAAAUAUUAAUGAACAUGUGGGGGCUCUACACCCUGGGGUAUUUUCACAGGAAUUAGAUUGGACAUAAUAAUAAGAACCUUGUUUUGUGAUUUAUGAACAAAUACAAAAAUACUGAAAGUCAAGGAAAACAUUUUACAAUAUUAUGAUCAGUUCUCAUAAUUAGUCAUAGUGGAUAUAUAUAUACAAGACCAAUUUAGAAUGUUUUUCUUGCACUAAAAGUUCAAAAGUUAUAAUGUACAUAAAUGCUUCCUUCUAUUUAAAAUGAGGAACCUGUAUUAAAAACAACCUGUAUUACAAGACUACUUUUGCCUCCUCCUUUGAGUGGUCUUUUUAAAACAUGUUUGACUAUAUAGCUGAAAUAUAAUAUUUGUAUUGAUACAUUUAAUAAAUAAAUAAUAACUUGUUUAUGGAUAUUUGUGUUUGAUAAAAAUGUUGCUGUUGGAGAUGACUUAUAUCACCAUAUUUCUCAUCAUAAUGAUAUUGAUAGUAAUCACUUUUCAUUUUACGAAAUUUUCAUUUGAUCUUGCUGACUGAUAAUUUCCUUACUUAGCGGUGUCGAGUGAUAUGUCAAAUUAUCGCUAGAAACUAAAAGGCAUAUGGCUUUGUCAAUAAAAUUUACAUGAAAAUGGCAACAUCGUCAUAGGUAAAAUAGCAAUAAACAGUUUAUCAUUGGUCAUCUCAACUCAAUUGCUUUUCUCACUUUUGCCGUUCCAGAUCAAGUGAGAAAAUCAAUCUAGUUGAGAUGAUCAACGAUACAUUUGUAAUCUAUAAUUCUCUUUGCAAAAUGUUUUUAUGCCCCACCUACGAUAGUGUUUUCUGGUCUGUGCGUCCGUCCGUCCGUCCGUCUGUCCGUUAGUUCGUCCGUCGUCCGUCCUCGCUUCAGGGUUAAAGUUUUUGGUCAAGGUAGUUUUUUUGAUGAAGUUUAAGUCCAAUCGACUUCAAAACUUAGUACACAUGUCCCCUAUGAUAUGAUCUUUCUAAUUUUAAUGCCAAAUUAGAGUUUUUACCCAAUUUCACGGUCCACUGAACAUGGAAAUGAUAGUGCGAGUGGGGCAUUCGUGUACUGAGGACACAUUCUUGUUGUAUUAAUUAUACCCCAUGCAACAAAGUUGCGAAGGGUAUAAUGUUUUUGACCCGUCCGUCCGUCAGUCCUGUUUUUUGUCAUCGCAACUCCUCUCAAACCCACACAACAGAAUUCACGAAACUUUUUCAGAUGAAAAGACAUACUAUGUAGUUGUGCAAUCGAAGAAAUUGCGAUUCAAUUUUUUUAAAGAGUUACGCCCCUUUGAUCUUAUUUGCUUAAUGUACUACUGCAACAGUUUGUCAUCGCAACUCCUCUGAAACUACACAACAGAAUUUCACGAAACCUUUUAGAUAAUAAGAACAUACUAUUUAGAUGUGCAUAUCGACAGAAAUUACGAUUCAAUUUUUUUCUAGGAGUUACCCCCUUUGAACUUUUACUUUAUUGUACUACUGCAACAGUUUGUCAUCGCAAACUCCUCUGAAACUAACAACAGAAUUUCAUGAAACCUUUUAAGAUAAUAAGGACAUACUAUGUAGAUGUGCAUAUCGACAGGAAUUACGAUUCAUUUUUUUUCUAGGAGAUACAUCUCUUUGAACUUAUUUGCUUUAAGGUACUACUUCAACAGUUUGUCAUCUCAACUCCUCUGAAACCACACAACAGAAUUUCAUGAACAUUUGUAGAUAAUAAGGACAUACUUGUAGAUGUGCAUAUCGACAGAAAUUACAAUUCAAUUUUUUUUCUAGAUUACGCCCCUUUGACUUAUUUGCUUCAAUGUACUUCUGCAACAGUUUGUCAUCUCAACUCCUCUGAAACCACACAACAGAAUUUCAUGAAAUUUUGUAGAUAAUAAGGACAUACUAUGUUGAUGUGCAUAUUGACAGGAAAAUUAUUCAUAUUUUUUCUAUACAAUUUUUUUUCUACACUUAUUUAAUUUCUCCAAUGACAAUGUGGGGACAUGGGGUAUGUGAGCGUGCUCACUAAGGUUCUUUAUUUCUAAUUUUACAGGUCUAUUUAGUAUCUGUUCGUCCAAAAGGAACUGUCCUGUAUAUAACAGAGGACAGUGGAAAAAGUUUUGUAUCUGUAAACCUUGACUUCCAGAUAGAUGGACAAUUACAUUUUAACCCUAAAAACAAAGAUUAUUUGAUGGCAUCGUCAAGUGUUCUUACAGUAAAGGUUUGUUUUUAUUUUAUUCCCACAUUAUCAUUAUGGAUGUUUUUUAAAUAAUCAGAUUUUUUACAGAUAUUCAAAAAAAAAAAAAGAAGAAAAAAUUGUUAUUAUUAGAUGUUGGACUGGUUUUCAAAAUGUGAGUUGCUAUCUUGCAUGUUUUGAUGAUAGGAAAGUAAUAUCAGAUGUAUCUGGAUAGAUAGCCAAUCAUUGAGAGCCAUUCAAAGUGUUGAUCAAUUCAUUGUGGAAUUUAUAUUGGAGAUAAUAAGAAUAUAGUGAAGGAAUGUCUUUAAUAAAAAUAUAGUGAAGAAAUGUCUUUGAUAAAAAUAUAGUGAAGAAAUGUCUUUGAUAAAAAUAUAGUGAAGAAAUGUCUUUGAUAAAAAUAAAGUGAAGAAAUGUCACGCUAACAUAUUUUAACAAAAAUAUAGUGAAGGAAUGUCACGCUAACAUAUUUUAAUAAAAAUAUAGUGAAGAAAUGUUUCACUAACAUAUUUUGAUAAAAAUAUAGUGAAGACAUGUCACGCUAACAUAUUUUGAUAAAAAUAUAGUGAAGUAAUGUUUCACUAACAUAUUUUGAUAAAAAUAUAGUGAAGAAAUGUCACGCUAACAUAUUUUAACAAAAAUAUAGUGAAAGAAUGUUACGCUAACAUAUUUUAAUAAAAAUAUAGUGAAGAAAUGUCUUUGAUAAAUAAAGUGAAGAAAUGUCACACUAACAUAUUUAAACAAAAAUAUAGUGAAGGAAUGUCACGCUAACAUAUGUUAAUAAAAAUAUAGUGAAGAAAUGUUUCACUAACAUAUUUUGAUAAAAAUAUAGUGAAGAAAUGUCACGCUAACAUAUUUUGAUAAAAAUAUAGUGAAGAAAUGUCACACUAACAUAUUUUAAUAAAAAUAUAGUGAAGAAAUGUCCUGCUAACAUAUUUUGAUAAAAAUAUAGUGAAGAAAUGUCACGCUAAUACGAGUCUUGUGAUUUAAGAUGAUAUUGUGCUCCUAUUCAUAUGUAUGUUAGAGGUUCUUCCAUCCUAUUGACACAACUGGCAUAUACCAUGAUACAUAGAUACAAGAAGAUGUGGUAUGAGUGCUAAUAAGUCAACUGUCAUCUAUAUUUAUCAGGUUUGGAUCAAUCCCUGAACUUGGGGGUUCACUUAAAUAAAAACCCUUUUGAUAUAUACAUAGUCAAAUAUUAAUAUUAGUUAUAUUACAACACAGAGUCUGUUUGACUGUAAUCAUGGUUUACAUCUACCUAAGUUUACAAGUUUAAGAAAGAACAGACAGAAUAGCUAUAAAUAUACCAGAAUAUUUACUUUAAAUUUCUUUUUCUUGAUAUUUGCAAAACACUCAAUUCAACUUGGAGCACUAUUUAUUUAUCUGACGACAGCCUAGACUUACAUGGUUUACUGAAUCAGAUUUAAUGUCAUGUGGCAUUGUAAUAAAAAAACCAGAGGAAGAUAAAUAUGAAACCAAGAGAUGAAUUUAAGUGUCAGUCAACCAAGACAGCAACUUUUGAAUGAUUUAGUUGCUUAUAAUAAUAGGAAACAUUGUUCAGGGCUAAAAGUUAUUUUUGUAUAAAUCUCUGAUACAUGUAUUAUGAUCGGUGAUAAGAAUUUUACUGAUUCUAGAAAAAAUCCAAAGAAAUAAAAAGACAGGUAAAGUACUACUUAUCUCCCUUUAUGUGUCGUCAUUGCUUACCAUUGUUAUGUUUGUUGUAUGUGCUAGAAAAUUAUAUGUGAAAACGAAUAGUUGUUCAGACUUGUCAAAUGGUAAAAAAAAUAACAAAAGACACUUACGGCAUUGUAUGUUUUUAUGUAUAUAUAUAUAAAAAAAAUAGUUGUUCAGACUUGAGAAUUAUUUUCGAAAAACUAACAGCAUCCUUAAGCAUUGUAUUUAUGUGUCAAAACAAUUAAUUGCUCAGAUUAUAGAAUGGUGUUUGGUCAUAAAAUAUGCAUGAAAUAUUUGCUGCUAGUGACAACCAACAAUCGAUCAAACAGAUUAAAACACUUGCAGCAUCAAUGUGAUGAAAUAAUAAAAGUACAGGUUCCUUUUAUAAUCAUAAACAGUAUAAUUAAAAAUAUAUUUCCAUUUACUAAUUAUUUCAUAUAUAUCUUCUACUAAUAAUAAAAGUGGCUGUGUUUGAGACAAAAAAACAUUUUUUUUACCAAAGUAGAUAUAAUGAACAUUUUAUAUGGACCGAACUUCCAUUUAUCAAGGGUCUGUUAAAGGCUCAUUUGUAAUGCAAUAUAGUUGAUAUCAAGAUAUAGUUUAUCAUAUAUGUAUGCUCAAUUUAGAUAUUGUAAUUUUUUAAGAAAUAAUGUCAAAACUUUUUGUGUUUCCAAUGUGUAAGAAGUUAAUGUUAAGCACUAAAUAAGUAUGUUAACAAUGGAUAGCAAUGAAUUUCCCAAAACAAAAGUGUUCUCCCGUCAGUAAUGUAUGCAUUAUGUAAGCACCAUUAUUGCAUGUUUUAUCCUUCCUGUAGUAGCUACUAAACACAAUCUUGGUCCGAUCACUGUAUUGCACUGCACAUAUUUGCGUUAUUUCAUGAUUUGUAGGUUGAGAUUUAAAUAUUUGUUACCGUAAAAGUAAUACAUGUAUCCUCAUAUUUUGUGGUAAGAAGAUAGCCAUAUUUUUAUGAACAGCAUUUACAUGAAGUCCUGAAAAUGUCAAUUCAAUAUCAAAACUUUAAUUCUACAAAUUAGCUAAUUGAUAAUUACACUCUAAGAACAAAUGUAGUAUAUUUUGGGUAAGUUCGAUUUGUUUUGAUAGUAUGAUAAAGUGAAAUAAAUAGUGUUUUAAUUGACCUCACAAGACAUUGCAUUGCCCUACAUAGUCUGAAUAUUUUCAUUGCAAAUGGUUGAAAUUCCACUUUGUAAUGGUUUUCUUACAGCUUCCAGAAGAUCAAGUGUGAGUUAAUUAUAACAAAACUCUAAAUUAUCCUGGGUGUUUUUUAUGCGUCACUUUUGUUAUUACCUAUAUUCCAUACACACAUGGUUAAAACUUUGAAGAUGAGAUAAAAAAAAAGUUGUUCAUAUUUACCAUUUAUGUGAGUGAGGAUAAUGGUAAAAACUGGAGAAGAAUUGCAGACUCUGUUCAAGUUUUUAAAUGGUAAGUAUGAUUCAAAACCACAUAUGUGAUGUAAAAGGAGGCUCAGUGCAAAUGGAAAAGCCAUUGUUUGAAGGGUUGAUUUUGUUUUAAAUGACCAUCAUCUAAAUAGAAUUGGGAAAUUUUCUUUAAAAUAAAAAAAUGAACACACAGCACAUGUACAUCAAAAGUCUUAAUAGUUAUAACGUUGCCACAAGUCUGAAAACUAUAACACUGGACAAUAGGAAUAUAAGUGAAUGAAAAUCAUUAUGAAGCUGUAUUCCAUACAUGUAAGUGUACAAGGAAAUUUAUUAUAACAAAAAAACAGUGUUUUAUUGCCAAUUUUUGUUAGAUUAUACUAAGAUAGGUAAUAAGAUAUGAUAAGAGGAUAGUAUUUUACUUUCCUGACAAUAAUAUUUCCAACAUUUCAGGGGUUUCAAUUCAAAAGUGGAUACAGAUCAGACUAUAUAUGCAGCAAUUGAUUCAGCUAAUACUCAUCCAUUCUUUGCCACAUGUAAGUUUUUGUAUGUCAUACCAAUGGAGAGGUAUUUUGGGCUAUUUCUCUUAUACAGGUAUUUCAUCUUAAUGUCAACAUUACAUGAGUUUUCAAUUUUCCCAAACUGUAAUAUAGGAUGACUGCCAUUGCCUCUGAUUUUCUGAAUGUUAUCUUAAAUCUUAAAAUUUGGGCCAAAUUAGAAAACAAACUCUUUAUAUGGUCUCCUUUCAUCUCGUCCCUUUAUUGACUCACUGAUGAUGACUACUUUAUUAUCUGACCGUUUGAGAUAGUAUCAUCUUUCCUGAAAUAUUCUACUAGCAAAAAUUGAACCAAAAAAAAGAAGGAAGCAUAGGGUUCCUAUGUUAAGGUACUUUUAGAUUGGAAUAGGAGUUUGAGUAGUUUCUGAAAGAGUUUUGUUCUUGAAAAUCCAGAAAAUGAUGAAAAUCCCCUUCAAACCCUAUAUAUUUAAAUUUAGAUUCAACUGGAGGUUCAUCUUUUUGUUAAAAAAAAUUGAGUUGGUCCUCAUGUGCAAAAAGCAUUUUUAUACGACCGCAAAAUUUGAAAAAUUUUUCGUCGUAUAUUGCUAUCACGGUUGCGUCGGCGUCGGGUCGUCGUCGUCGUCGUCGUCGUCGUCGUCGUCUCCGAAUACUUUUAGUUUUCGCACUCUUACUUAGUAAAAUGAAUGGAAAUCUAUGAAAUUUUUAACACAAGGUUUAUGACCACAAAAGGAAGGUUGGUAUUGAUUUUGGAGUUUUGGUCCCAACAUUUAGGAAUUAGGGGCCAAAAAAGGGCCCAAAUAAGCAUUUUCUUGGUUUCGCACUAUAACUUUAGUUUAAGUUAAUAGAAAUCUAUGAAAUUUUGACACCAAGGUUUAUGACCACAAAGAAGGUUGUAUGAUUUUGGGAGUUAAGUCCCCAGUUUAGGAAUUAGGGGCCAAAAGGGACCCAAAUAAGCAUUUUUUCUUGGUUUUCGCACCAUAACGUUAGUAUAAGUAAAAGAAAUCUAUGAAAUUUAAACACAAGGUUUAUGACCAUAAAGGAAGGUUGGUAUUGUUUUGGGAGUUUUGGUCCCAACAGAAUAAGGGCCCAAAGUCCAAAAUUAAACUUUGUUGAUUUCAUCAAAAUUGAAUAAUUGGGGUUCUUGUAUGCCGAAUCUAACUGUCAUGACUGGGUAUGUAGAUUUCUUAACUUUUUGGUCCCGUUUUCAAAUUGGUCUACUAAGGUCAAGGGUCCAAAUUAAACUUAGUUUGAUUUUGACAAAAAUGAAUCAGUUAGGUUUCUUUGAUAUGCUGAAUCUAAAAUGUACUUAGAUUUGGAUUAUUGGCCCAGUUUUCAAGUUGGUCCAAAUCGGGGUCCAAAAUUAAAUUUUUUGAUUUCAUCAAAAAAUUUAAUAAAUGGGGUUCUUUGAUAUACCAAAUCUAACUGUGUAUGUAGAUUCUUCAUUUUUGGUCCUGUUUCAAAUUGGUCUACACUAAAGUCCAAAGGGUCCAAAAUUAAACUUAGUCUGAUUUCAACAAAAAUUGAAAUCUUGGGGUUCUUUGAUAUGCUGAAUCCAAAAAUGUACUUAGUUUUUUAUUAUGGGCCCAGUUUUCAAGUUGGUCCAAAUCAGGAUCUAAAAUUAUUAUAUUAAGUAUUGUGCAAUAGCAAGUCUUUUCAAUUGCACAGUAUUGCGCAAUGGCAAGAAAUAUCUAAUUGCACAAUAUUGUGAAAUAGCAAAUUUUUUUUUAAUUAGAGUUAUCUUUCUUUGUCCAGAAUAGCAAGCAAGAAAUAUCUAAUUGCAAAAUAUUGUGCAAUAGCAAGAUUUUUUUUUAAUUGGAGUUAUCUUUCUUUGUCCAGAAUCAACUUAAAUCUUUGUUAUAUACAAUAUACAAUGUAUAUUCACUUUUUACUACCAACUGAUAAAUUAAAAUAAUCUUUACCAUUCAGUGAUAACAAGCAGUUUUUUUACAUCUUAAUAUUUUAUGAUGUAUUUAAAUGAGUAGUUAUUGUUGCAAACUCCAUUAGAAAUUUUAAUUGAGAUUAGUUUUGGAAUAAGGGAAAGGGGAUGUGAUUAAAAAAAUUGGGAUCAAUUUUUCUCAUUUGAAAUUUCAUAAAUAAAAAGAAAAUUUCUUCAACAUUUUUUUGAGAGGAUUAAUAUUCAACAGCAUAGUGAAUUGCUCUAAGAGAAAACAAAAAUUUUAAGUUCAUUAGAACACAUUCAUUCUGUGUCAGAAACCUAUGCUGUGUCAACUAUUUAAUCACAAUCCAAAUUUAGAGCUGAAUCCAGCUUGAAUGUUGUGUCCAUACUUGCCCCAACCGUUCAGGGUUCAACCUCUGCGGUCGUAUAAAGCUACGCCCUGCGGAGCAUCUGGUUUCAUUUAUUUUUUUUUUACUUGAAAGAAUUUGAAAUUUAGCUGGUUUUUUUUUUCUUCGAUUGUUUACUUUAACUGGACCUGCAACCCGAAAUAGUUGUUUCCUAUGUGUAUUUAAAUAAUAAACACAAUCAGUAGUUAUAUGCCCUUUGGUUUACACUAUUUGUAAAAGUAUUUGGCCACCCCUCAAAAAAAACUUAUGUUUAAUUUUCGAAGUUCAUAUAUGAGCUUAAAAUGAACAUUAAAACUGAGAAACAUGACAAUAUUCACUGGGGUAAAGCUGAUGACCGUAACUGCAUUCACGGUCAUCCCAAGAUGUCGGAUGAAAAAUUAGGUCAGUAUCUGUAUUGUCUGUUACAGUGUUUCUAUAUCAUUUUCUUUACAAAGUAUAUAUUGAUACGAUGUAAAUUUAUAAAAGAUUCACACAGAAAUCACAAAUUACUACCGAAAAAUGUUCAGGAAACGCGAAAAUUCAAUUUGAAAAAAUCGCUAAGAUGUCCGUAAAUCAUUAUUAAAAUAUUUUCAAGAUGACCGUAACAUAAAACAAGGAUGACCGUGAUUGAUAAACAGAUGACCGUGAUUGGUAAACAGAUGACCGUAACUUGUAAAAGAUGACCAAAAUUUGUAAAGAAUGACUGUAACUUAUAAAGGAUGAUCGUAACUUUUAAAUGAUGAACCUCAAUUCUAAGAAUAUCCGUAUUUGUAUUCAUAGCUUUUUAAAGCCCAGUUAAAAUGGGAAAAAACUGUAAUUUGGCAUUAUGAUUAGAAAGAUCAUAUCAUAGAAAACAUGUGUACUAAGUUUCAAGUUGAUUGGACUUCAACGUCAUCAAAAACCUCCUCAACCAAAAACUUUAAACUGGGGUGGGACAGACGGACGAACUAGCAGACAAAGGGACGAACAAACGAACGGACGCACAGACCAAAAAACAUAUACCCAUGAGUGGAGCAUAAAAAACACUAAUCAAACAUAUGAAUAUCCGGUAAUCGAGCCUGUGUGUAUGGUUCCAGUGGAGGCAGAUUAAAAUCUUAGUUUGUAUUGAUAUAUAUAUAACAUUGCUGUAUAUACAAAUUGACAAGGUUCUCCUCAGUGGUGGAUCCAAGGGGGGUCCGGGGGUUGGAACCCCCUUUUUAUUAACGGAUCAUUGCAUUUGAAUGGGAACACAUAGUUUGAACCCCCUUUACCCUGGGUUUGGACCCCCCCCCCCUUUUUUUUGAAAAUGGCUUAAUCCACCCCUGCCCCUUGUGAUACGCUAUACGCACAAGACUAUUUUAAGGAUCUAUUUUGCUGGAGCUCGCCUUCACUAGUUUGGUCGUAGUAUUUUAAAAACAUGUUCUGUUAUUUUACUUGCAAGACAAAAUAGAAGGCAAAUCAAAGACGAUAUAAUAUCAAUGGUGUACAUCCAUUGGCAUUUUUUUAAAAGUGCAUUUAUUAUAUGUCAUUACAAGGAAUUCAAGAAAUUAAAAAAAAAACUUUUGGCUUUUAAUUGGAGGCUGUGCAGCACACUUUUUUUUAUUAUACUUGUAAGGCGUCAUUUAAUCGCGCUUUUGUUGCAUGUUUUCCUCACUUUUGCAUGUGCAUGUGCAUGUCCUGUUGUAUGUUCAUUUUAAAAAUUAUACCCUCACCCUUGUUAUGAAUUGCUGAUUCUGUUAUGGUCAUCUCGAUUGUGAUUAUUACGGUCAUCUCUUGCGAUUUUUUUAUAUCGAAUUUCCUGUUUCAUACAUUUCUCGGAAGUAAUUUGUGAUUUCCGUGUGAAUCUUUUCUAAAUUUACAUUGUAUCAAUGUAUACUUUGUAAAGAAAAUGAUAUAGAAACACUGUAACAGACAAUACAGAUACUGACCUAUUUUUUUCAUCUGACAUCUUGGGAUGACCGUGAAUGCAGUUACAGUCAUCAGCUUUACCCCAGUGAAUAUUUAGUGUUUAAUUGAGGAAACAUGCAUACACUUUGAAAUAAAUGGCAUUACGUUGACCUCCAAAUGUAUGGAAAGCCAUUUGAAACAAAUAACAGUGCUUUGGGCAUGACUGUAAUAUUUAGGCCCCUGUAUGGUAAUGGUUAAGAAAUAUAAGCAAGCAACAAUCAAUCAAUCAAAUAAUUAUACCCCUGCUUUGAAAAAGGGGGGUUUACUGUUUUACCUCUGUCUGUCCUUCCAUCAGUCCGUCUGUCCCAUUAAUAUUUUUGUCAAAUUUUUCUCAGGAACUACAAUACAAGGAUUUCUGAAAUUUGGUUUCAGGGUUUAUAUAAGUUAGCUAUACUGUUUAGGAAUUAGGGGUCCAAAACAAGCAUUUUUCUACUUUCAGGAUAAUAACUUGUGUAUAAGUAUUUCAAUUGCUCUGAAAUUGUUCCACAAUGAUUAAUAUCUCAAGUAGAAGGUUUGGAUUGAUAUUGGGGGUUAAUGUGCCAACAGUUUAGGAAUUAAGGGCUGAAAAGGGGCCAAAAACAAGCAUUUUUGUAGUUUCUGGACAUUCUUGUAUAUAAGAGUAUGGAUCUAUCUGACAAAAGGAAGGCUGGUAUUGAGUUUUGGGGUUAUUGCCCCAUUUAUGAAGGAAUUAGGGGCCAAAAAGUGCCAAAAACGAGCAUAUUGUUAGUUUCCAGAUAAUAACUUGUAUUUAAGUGUAUGGAUCUUUCUGAAAUUGUACUACAAGGCUGCGCUCAGCUAAGCGUUUCAUAUUUUUUUUAUUGAAACUAAUAUAAUGAAAAUGUGUCACAAUUAAAGCACAGGCCUCUUAAUCAUGUAAUGGUUAAUAGAGAUCCAUUGUGAGGUUUUUGAAAGAUCUGUUAUGAAACAAGUAAUUAUUUGUUUUUGCAUCAUUAUGCAAUGAUUUUUCUUUACAUUGUAGUUUUUGUAAUCAAGUAUGAUUUAAAGAAGUCGACUGACCUUGGCAAAAGUUGGACAAUUUUAAUGAAAGAUGUGAUAUCAUUUGGACACCAAGACAAGUUUCUUUAUGUAGCUGUACCAGAAAAAGCAGGGGUACUUAAUGAAGUUUCAUGUUCUUAGAUUUAAAGUGGUCCACAAUAAACCAAAUAGUUCUGUUGAUAGACAAAUCAUUCUCAGUUGCAGACUUGACUCUCAUGUACAAGUAGAUGUCUUGACUGUUUUUCAUGGAUAUAUUGUGAGAUAGUCAAGUGUCAACUGAUGUGAAAACAUAUUAAUGUUGCAUAUUUUAGAAAAAAAGACUUACUUAACAUAAAGAUGUCAAAAUUUUGUUAUUUGUAUUUAUUUUUCUAUUUUUAUAUUAAUGCUCUACAAAUCUCUUUUUGUCAUUACAAGUAGGGCAUUUGACACAUUUGUUCACAACCCAUGUUGCAAGCUUGUAAAUUUUAUAUGACAGACCAGUCUUUCAUUCUGUAAAUCAAUCGAUAGGCUUUGAGGCUCUAAAUUCUUUAGGAAUACCUUGGGAAAACUAGAAGCUUGCACAGAUAGCUUAAUUGGUUUAGAUGGCUCAUUUCUGUAAUAUAUAAUUCUUUCUAAUGUACUUAAAAUCAUAUAAUGAAAAUGGAUUUUAAAGCUUAACCUAAAAAUAGAAAAUUAAUAUCCCAAAUAACUGACAUUUUCAUUUUUUACAGAGUUCUCAAAGAAAAAUGUUGGUAUCAACAGAUGGUGGAGCAACAUGGGAUAGAACGUACUUACCAACUAUGAAUGGAGAAAGGGUAAGAAUGAUUAUAUUAACCAGAGGCCAAAACACUGAGCUCUACAGUAAUCAGAUUGUCUGUCUAAUUGUCUGUCAGUUGUUACAAUAUCAUUCUAUGGAAUAGUAAUUGUUGGCAGGACCUUUAUAGGAUAUUUGAUUACAGCGAUUUCAAUGAGUGUGUAGGCAAAGGUAAUAUCUUUGGAUAGCUUGCUUGCUAGCUGAACCGUGAAGUCUUUCUUAGGUUAAGUAAACAACCCUCCUUUAAGAGUAGCCUAGUCCCACAGAUAACCAAUCUAUUUGUCUGUAGGACUAGGAUAAUUUGAAAGGAGAAUAGUACACCUUACCUAACAAAGACUUCACAGUUCAGCUAGCAGGCAAGCUAACCAAAGACGUUACCUUUAGCUACACACUCAUUGAAAUCAGCUGUAAAAUAUUCGGAAAGGGAUGGUUAUCAAGUAUUUGUAAGGCUUAAAUUAAGUGUGUUAGGCUAUAUAAAACUUUCAGUAAUCAUAUAAAAAUAAAUCAUAGAAAUUGAUUUAAACACUUAAAAAGAUUACCUUGCAUUCAGCACAAGGAUCCAGAAAUUUUUUCAUCUCAUUUCGGUCAUUUUGAUACAACUUAAAAAGAUUGUCAAAAUCACAUUACUGCAUGAGUAUGCCAGGGACAGUAUAGAAAGUCCCUGAGUAUGCUCAUACUCGUCACAUCAACAAACUUGUUUAACUGUUGCAUCGCAUUAACUUCAUGAUUUUACCUACCAUUUUCCUACCAUUUUCCUAAAAAUCAAUCAAGAGCAAUUAAGGGAAGGCAACAGUUUAAAAAUAAAAUGAUUUUAAUGACUUAAAAGGAUAAUCUUAUCAGUCAUCGCUCACGUUUCUUUCAAUUUUGAAGUCAAAUUUCAUACCGGAUGUUUUACGACAAUACUAAAACGAACAAUUCCGGACUCAUUUCCGGGAUUAGUUAUGUUUAUCAAAUUCACAGGAAAUCAUCGGCUUUUUAAUUUUCUACCUUUGAUAGUGUUUGACUGUUAAUGAUAAUAGUUACACUUGCUUUAUUAAGCAUGCAAUCAUUUUAAAUUUAUCUUAUAAGUCUUAUCUGUGGAAGAGAAUUUCAAGCAUGCAUAUUACGAAGUAAACAAAGCAUGUGUGUUAGUAGUGAAAAAAUACUUUUUUUAAAUCAAGUUUUAAUUUAAUUUUACAGCUUUUAUAUUAAUGCUAGCAAAACAAACCUUUGUUUGGUUUGCUUGCUUUGUUUGUAACAAUGUUUGCUCAAGCAUGGCAAUUAAGAUAGCCGGGGCUUCAGCUUGUAUACAUCAUACUUAAAUUUUAUUGGACGUUAUGUUUGAGGUUAAGGACACCUAAUCACAUGACAAAUAUUCUCACAUGUUUCCUCACCUGUAAAAAUACAAUAAUUUGUCAAUGAAAGAAAAAUAUAAACUUUUUUUCUUGUAUGAGGCUGAGAAACUGGCCUUCAGCAUUGACCUAAUAUUGUUUUUUUAUAUAUCAUAUCAAUCUAUUAGUUCAGUCAGUUAUUUCCAUGUCUGCCCUUCUAUUAUGUAACUCAAGAAAAUAUUCAAAAAAUGGGAAAACAAUUGUAUCGAAAAGAGGAAAUCGAGUGUACAUUUUUUAUGUUAGGGUGUGUUUGAGAUGAAUAUUUUGUCUUGAAAACGUACAAAGUUAGAGUAUUUGAUACAUCAUCUCGCUUCAGAUUGUAUCAUUUUAAUAUAGUAAAGCUACAGGUUAACUUUAUAACAUAAAAAAAAUCACAGUACUAAAAGAUGAAAUAUAGGGAUGAAGUGAAAUACCUAUCCAAUGGAUCACAAAAUCAGAGUAGGUGUAUUCGAAUAGGUAUUUUACUAAAAGUGCUUGACGACAGUCUUUAAGUUGGAUAUUUGAAAAAAAAAUUGUCUUCCAUUUCUACGAUCAUUGUGAAAAUAAACUGGCGUAAUGGGGAGAUAAUUUCGACGAAGUAAAAUCCUGUCUGUAUUGUAUAUUUACAGGUAAGGAAACAUUUGAGAAUAUGAGUCAUGGGAUGUUAUAAAAUUUAGUGUCCUUAACCUCAAACAUAAUGUCCAAUAAAAUUUAAGUAUGAUGUAUACAAGCUGAAGCCCCGCCUAUCUUAAUUGCCAUGCUUGAGCAAACACUGAUACAAACAAAGCAAGCAAGCCAAACAAAGAUUUGUCUUGCUAGCAUUAAUGUAAAAGCUGUAAAUCAUAAUUGACAAUUGUUUUUGCUAAAAAGUAAUUGAAUAAUGAAGAUAGUUGUUAUGGAAUUUUGAUUUCUUUAUAAUAUUAGUUCUGAGCUAAUGAUUAAUAGCCAGGUGCUAAUUAAAAACACAGGUAAAGAGAUUAGCGAUCAUUAGCCAAUAGCUCCCUGAGGCAUUAAUAUAGUUAUUAGGAGGGCCCUCAGGAUUAUAACACUUUACUGGAGUGGCAGUUUAAUUACAGGAAAUCGAUAAAAAAAACAAAAAGAUGUUCAAAAUGGCGAUUUUGAAACUCGAUCUCAACGAAAUGACCGAAAUUAUUUCUGUUGAAAAAUAAAAUUUGUCCUAAAUCCCAAUUACUCGUUUAGGACAAAAUACUUUCAGUUUAGGACAAGACUGGCAAAUAUGACCAUUUCCGGACCCUUGAUUCAGCAUUUUCUUCAUUUUUAAUAAUUUGAGUUAUGAGGGGGGGUAGGAGGGGUCCUGAUCCCGAAAUCCCGGGCAUAAAAACACGAAAUCCCGAGGUCCCGAUUUAAAAAAAUCUAAAUCCCGAAGUCCCGAAAUCAGAAAAAAAGAAUUCCCGGAUCCCGAAAGGGUCAAUCCCGAAAUCCCGAGCUUAAAAACACCCGAUCCCGGAGUCCCGAUAAAGGUCCUAUCCCCCCUCAGUUAUGACAUCCUCACAUCAAAAAUCUUGUUUAAUUCAUUUAUAUUUCAUGAUAUUAUGGUUUCCAAACAUAAUGUGCAAAUUUGAAAUAGUUAUCAAAAACUUUAUUUUCUGGAGCCAAAAAUGGGUCACCAUGCUUCUUUGUAGAAAAUAACUAUUCAAAAAUACUGCCCGACUUUAACAAUAAAAUAAAAAAAAAAUUAGAAACAAGGGUAAAAAUCCUCUUUCUACUACAGGAAGCUAUCUAAACAUUUUAUUAUACCCCCUGCAAUCAAAGUUUUAUAGGAGUAUAUAGGUGACAGAUCUCACACUGUCUGUUAGUUUGUUUAUAUUCUUUGUAAGUGGAAUUACUUAAUAGCUAGACAUAUAUUGAGGAAAUUUACUCAUUUGCAGAACUUGUCCUUAGGAUUUGCAUGAAGGAAUAUAAUCCAAGUUCAAGGGGAAAUAAUCAAAUUUAACCAUACUUAUAAUAUUCCAGGCAAGGGUUCUCCUUGUGUGUGUUCACUUACAGUUCUAAUUCACCUUGUAAAUGCAUCAUCACUUAACAAUCUAAUAAACUUUAUUGAAAUGUUCUACAAAAUUAGAACACCCUAUAAAGAUGUGCAUGAAGAGAAAUAGUUAUGAUCAACCAUCUUGAUGAUGUACACUUUAAUCGUGUAAAGGAAGAUAAUUGGAAAGGCAUGUUUCAUUUUCUUAACUUUAUCACAUUGCUGGUAGAUAUUACUAGACAAAAGCUAAAGAAAAUAUUGGGAAGGACAAAAUAUGUUUUUGCUUACAUAUUUAAUAUAUGUAUUCCAAUUUUCUGUGUUUAACAUAAAUGAAGGAUUGAUUUUAAUUAUUUCAGUUUUUCUCAGUCUUGGAUAUGAAUGAGGGAUUGGUAUUUAUGCAUGUAGAUAAUCCAGGAGGUAUGUGUGUAUUACUGUCUGUUUUGAUAAGUGUAAUGCCAUAUAUUCCUAAUACAAUGUAUUCAUAAUUUGCUAAUGAUAUUUUAUUUCCGUUACUAGAUUAACUUUGCUCAACCAAAUGUUAUGAAACUUAUACACAAUACAUUUUACCACACCACUCAGAUCAAUUACAAAAUUUGAGAAGUGUCACUUUUACCAUUCUUCAGUGAUGUCCCUUUAUAACUUUUUAGGUUUUUGAUAAAAACUGUAGUGUAUACAACCUUUGAAGAAUGUAUCACACAACAGAUAUCAUAUUAAAUGACUGUUAAUAAAUUGAAUAGCAUUCAUUACAUGUUCAUUUAUUCAACACUGUUUUAGUUGCAUUAGUUUAAACAAGAAUAAGAAGUUCUGGGUGACUACAUGUUAUAAUUUGAUUACAGAUACUGGUCAUGGUACACUGUACACUUCAUCAGGGAAGGGAAUGUUAUAUUCAGAAUCAUUACAGAAACAUUUAUACCCUAACUAUGGAGAUUCUACUGAUUUUUUCCGAGUUCAGUCAAUGAGAGGAGUUUAUCUUGCCAGUCAGAUGAGAGAUGAUAAUAGUAUUCAUACAGUUAUAUCAUACAAUCUAGGAGGAACAUGGCACCCAGUUCCCAAACCUGAAGGGUCUACAUGUAAAGAUCUAAAAAGGUAGUUAUCUUCAUUCUAUCUAGGGAAUAGGGGGCCCAGGUCCCAAUAUCUUGUUCUACUGUAAAGACCUAAGAAUAUAGUUAUAUAUCAUUCUAUCUAGGAAGAAUAGGGCCCCAAGGACCCAAAACUCCAGGCUCUACUUGUAAAGACUCUAAGAAGGUAUAGUUACAUAUCAUUGAAUAUAGGAGGAACAUCCCACCAAGCUCGAAGACCUCAAAUGUCCACACACCCUUUCUUGCCACUAAAUUUCAGUUAAUAAAACUGAUUCAGUGUUUGUUACUGUUAGAAACUUCAAAUGUCUAAUGAAACUCAGGACAAUAUAGGGUUUGUUUUAAUAACAAGAAAGGGAAAAAAGGAUGCUUAUGUUAAAACAAAGAACUGAAUUAUAACCAGGAAUUAAAAAAACAGAUUUUAUUUUAUUUUUUCUAAUCAAGGAACUAAAUUGUAACCAGGAAUUAAAAUAGAAUGUAUCUUUAAAAUCGAGGAACUGAAUUAACAACCAGGAACUAAAAUAGAAUGAACUUGUUAAAUCCAGGAACUGAAUUGUAACCAGGAACUGAAUUAUAAUGCAUCUUGUAAAAUCCAGGAACUGAAUGGUAACCAGGAACUGAAUUAUAAUGCAUCUUUUUAAAUCCAGAAACUGAAUUAUAUAACCAGAAACUAAAAUUAUAAGGCAUCUUUUUAAAUCCAGGAACUGAAUUAUAUAACCAGAAACUAAAAUUAUAAUGCAUCUUUUUAAAUCCAGGAACUGAAUUAUAUAACCAGAAACUAAAAUUAUAAUGCAUCUAGUAAAAUUCACGAACUGAAUUGUAACCAGGAAUUAAAAAUGAGAAUGCUUAUUACAUUAUCCAGGAACUGAAUUACAACGUAACCAGGAAUUAAAAAAAUAUCUGAAUAAACAAAUGAAAUAAAAACCAAGAUCUUUAAAAAGACUUUAAGAGGAUAACUAAUAGAAAUAUAUGGAUAUGUCUUUAAGGUUUUAUUUUCACAAUUAUAAUGAAUUACUUAAAACUUAUUUGAUUAAUCAACAACUGAAUUAAAAAAAAAAAUAGAAUGAAGAACUUUUGAUGAACAAAUUGUACACAUGAAUUUCGUAACAACAUAUAAAAAUAGAAGAAAAUCUAAUGCAAUAUGAUAGAUAUAGGAAGAUGUGGUGUGAGAGCCAAUGAGACAACUCUCCAUCCAAAUAACAAUUUAAAAAUUAAACCAUUAUAGGUAAAAGUACGGCCUCAACACGGAGCCUUGGCUCACACCAACAAGCUAUAAAGGGCCCCAAAAUUACUAGUGUAAAACCAUUCAAACGGGCAAUAUGAUGUAUACUUAUGAUUUGAUUAUGUCAGUCGUGAGUUCUAGGUUGACGGUCCAAAUCUUUUGCAACAACAUUGUACACUUAUCUAACGACAAUACCAGUGUUUCCCAUGAGAGUGGUUUGCUACAACUUUGUGCAGUCUCAAUCAAUGCUUUCAGGAUUUAUUUAUUGUUUUAAUUCUUCAAAUUAACGGCAGUGGUCUCGUUAGCUCAAAAUAGAAGGGCGCCGCGCCCUGGGUGCCAUAAGCCACGCCCUGUGUGCGCUCAACCGCGCCCUUUUGCCCUGACACCGUUUUCCGGGAAAAAAACUUGUGCGAUUUUGGUAAAAUUGCCUUUUGUUUCAUCGAUUUCUUAUCAGAAGUUAAAUUACAUAUAUGACACCUGGUGAUUGCCCUCCAGGUUAAUCAUGUCAUUACAAUCAAUUAUUGUGGAUAAGACUUCAAAUGUGUUAAUUACUAGGUAAUUUAAUUAAGACAAUGUACCUUUUUGUCAUAAAUUUGAUGAAUGUGUCUGCAUUUUCGAUCUGCAAGUCACAAUGGAAGAGUGUAUGAAUGAAGACUUUCAUGAAUUAAGAAUUGAAUUGAAGUAAUCAAAAUAAAAAUAUGCCUUCACAGAAAUGACGCCCAUCUCAACUUGUGAGCAACAAGCAGACGUAAACAUGUUGGAAAUUAGUUUUGGAGUUACUUCCCCUGAAAAAGUUUAUUACAAAUUUGUGCUCCUAAAAUAUUAUCUAGGACUAAAAAUAGGAAAAAAUAACCAAUUGAAUACAAAAUUAUAUAAGAAUGUUACCUUAAGGAUAUUAACUGUCUUUGACCAUACAAAAAAAAUAUAUUGCAAUUUAUUUUUGAUAAUUAUACUUUUGGCAAUUCAUGUUUUAUACAUUCUCAAGAAAGAAAUAUAACUUAAAUAUGUGUUUGAUUGAUGUAAAGCUAUCAACUUACCAAAAUGGUAUCGCUACUGUAGUUAAAGUCAUAAGAAACGAGUGACCUGUGAAAAAUAAAUGUUCUUCCAAUUCUUGAACCAAUGCAUACAAACAUCAUAAACUAGUCUUCUGUGGCUCGAUUUUUCAUUUUUUUCGUGUAAAUUUCGUAUAAUCGUCAAAUUUUUUUCAAUCUGUCAGUGUUGUUGUGAAAAUAUGGCAGGUAAUUAAAGUUUGUCUUUUGAAGACGAAGUUUAACGAUUGUCACCUGUUAGUCAACAAUUGACGAAAAAUAAACAAAAAAGCAUGGAAAUUGAGCACGUGUUUAACAUGUAAAUUCAGAUAAUAGUUUAUUUUAAGAUAUCCAUGUGUAUUGUGAUCACCGGAUUUUUACGAGAUGGGUCACUUUGCAUACGGAAGGAAGCAAUUCAAAUAAAGUAAACUUCUUCUAAAUAUGAAUAAAUUAAAGAAUUUUCUUCAGAAAAAAGUAUAUGUACAUAAGUUAUAUAAUGAAAACUAUCCAUUGAGUUAUAAAAAAACAUAUAUAUGCAUUAUUUUUUUUUUAUUUGAGGUUUCUUAUGACUUUAAACUUUCAUCACAAAUCAUGAAGCUAAAACUAAAUAAUAUAUUCCUAAACACAAACAAUGAAAAAAGUUUUGAGGCCAAGCUCUAGAUGGAUUAUUAUACCCCACGCAACGAAGUUGCGGAGGGUAUAAUGUUUUUGACCCGUCCGUCCGUCUGUCAGUCCGUCCGUCAGUCCGUCCGUCCCUCCGUCAGUCCUGUUUCUUGUCAUCGCAACUCCUCUCCUCUUAUUUCCAGGAGUUACGCCCCUUUUAACUUAUUUACUUUAACGUACUACUGCAACAGUUUGUCAUCGCAACUCCUCUCAAACACACAACAGAAUUUCAACGAAACCUUUUCAGUUAAUAAGGACUACUAUGUGUUGUGCAUAUCGACGGAAAUUGCGAUUCAAUUUUUUUUCUAGGAGUUAUGCCCCUUUGAACUUAUUUACUUUAGUGUACUACUGCAACAGUUUGUCAUCGCAACUCCUCUCAAACCACACAACAGAAUUUCACGAGACCUUUUCAGAUAAUGAGGACAUACUAUGUAGUUGUGCAUAUCGAUGGGAAAUUAUGAUCAUAUUUUUUUUCUAGAAGUUACGCCCCUUUGACUUAUUUACUUUAAUGUACUACUGCAACAGUUUGUCAUCGCAACUCCUCUCAAACUACUCAACAGAAUUUCAGGAAACUUUUUUAGUUAAUAAGGACAUACUAUGUAGUUGUGCAUAUCGACGGGAAAUUGCGAUUCAAUUUUUUUUCUAGGAGUUACGCCCUUUGAACUUAUUUACUUUAAUGUACUACUGCAACAGUUUGUCAUCGCAACUCCUCUGAAACUACUCAACAGAAUUUCAUGAAACCUUUUCAGAUAAUAAGGACAUACUAUGUAGAUGUGCAUAUCGACAGGAAAUUACGAUUCAAUUUUUUUUCUAGGAGUUACACCUUACGCCCCUUUGAACUUAUUUACUUUGAUAUAAUACUGCAACAGUUUGUCAUCGCAACUCCUCUGAAACUACUCAACAGAAUUUCAUGAAACCUUUUCAGAUAAUAAGGACAUACUAUGUAGAUGUGCAUAUCGACAGGAAAUUACGAUUCAAUUUUUUUUCUAGGAGUUACACCUGUUUCAACUUAUUUGCUUUAAGGUACUUCUUCCACAGUUUGUCACCUCAACUCCUCUCAAACCACACAACAGAAUUUCAUGAAACUUUGUAGAUAAAGGACAUACUACGUAGAUGUGCAUUUCGACAACAAAUUUUGAUUCAUAUUUUUUUCUAGGAGUUACGCCCCUUUGAACUUAUUUGCUUCAAUGUACUUCUGCAACAGUUUGUCAUCUCAACUCCUCUGAAACCACACAACAGAAUUUCAUGAAAUUUUGUAAAUAAUAAGGACAUACUAUGCAUGUAGAUGUGGAUAUUGACAGGAAAUUAUUAUUCAAUAUUUUUUCUUAUACAAUUUUUUUCCUUACACUUAUUUAAUUUCUCCAAUGACAAUGUGGGGACGUGGGGUAUGUGAGCGUGCUCACUAAGGUUCUUUAAUUUGAAAUACAACUACUCUGUUAUGUACAUGUAUGGUAAACUAUGAGAUGUUUAGUUCAUGUUCUUUUUUUUUGGAAGGAGAGGGAGUGGGGGAGAAUAGUAAGUUUAUUUUGCCUUUUUUGGUUAAUAGUAUGAAUGUGUAUUGCCAUGUUGUAUGAACAUGAAGUAUGAAUGACUUUUCUUAGGCAAAUUUUGUAGAAUAAAUAAUCAAAACAACAACUUAUGCAUCUUUAUUAACAACACUUAUACUACUUUUAUUAAAUAAUCCAACGUUUUCAAUACAGACUUGUUCUGAAUGCUGUAUUACAUACAUCAAAUGUGAAUAUAGGGCAAUAUUCAAUAGGACUGGCAAUGAUGUGAAUAUAGGGCCAAUAUUUCCAAUACGGACUGGCAAUGAAUCCUGAAUUACAUGCAUAAUUACACCUAAUAUAAGAAUGCCAGAAUUUGAUUGGUUCAACCGUUGGUAGCCACUGUAUUUUUCGCAUAUUCUAACAUUUUUUCCUCAUUUCAAACCAAAUUGCCUGUUUUUCAACACUGCCGGUGAAUAUGCCUCAAAUACAUGUACCAUGGUAUUUGCCAUUUUGGAUAUUCCCUUUUUACCCUCCCGGCCAUAUUUCCGCCAAUUUGUUUCGGAUAUGACGUUACAUAAAAAAGAGAGCUAACACUUAUUAGUACAUGCAUAAUUCCUACGGUUCUAUGAUAAUAUCCACUUAUUUAUCGUCAAAAUUAUGCAUAAACAUGUUUAUGAAUUACACCUUACAAGUAAAAGAAAAAAAUCAACUUCACCUGUACAGAGAAUUUUAGUCCUUAACUAUUCGGUGUAAUUAAACAGAUAUAUCAUGUUGUGGAGUGGUAUUUGCGAAAAAUACGAGUCUUGGGUCCGACUUCCAUCGCCUUGUUGGCUUGGGAAACUUCACAGCCCCUUGACUGGUAUUUUUCGCAAAUACCACUCCAUAACAUGAUUUAUGAUCUGUUCACAAUGUAUGUUUACAGGGCCAAUGAUUUUUUAAAUACUGACUUGCUUUGAAUCCAGCUUACAGAGUUACAUGUACAAAAUGUUUGUCAUUGAUAUGUGUCAUAAUGUGAUCAGCGGUCAAUAUUUCAAAAGACAAAUUUGUAUGAACUGUCAAAUUUGUAAGAUUUAUAUUUUUUCAAUAAGAAUAAAUAUAGGACCUACCGUAAAGAGGAUACAGAAAUCAUUUUAUAUCUGAACUCGUCACUGCUUUUCGCUUUUACGUCCAUCAUCAUGCAUGGAUUUCUUGUCAACAUUGUCAGAUGAAAUUUCUGAUUCCUCGUCCAAGUACUUAAUAAAAUGCUAUAACAAUUCAUUUUAUGUAGUAAAUAUAAAGUAACUGGGAAGAAUAAAUCAGACAGUUUAACUAUUCUUACUCUGUCUUGGAUCGUCUGCGUUUUGAAUGGAAAUGCAACAGUGUCAAUAGUAGAAAGUCGUACUCGAAAAGGCUGUGAAUUUUUUCCGUUUCAAGACUGCAAGACGUUAAAAAAGUUAAGUUAACAUUGCACAUCAUUUAACCUUUUUUUUAUGAUUACACAAAUAUACCCCCAAAGUUAAGUAAUGGCUUUGGAAAAUUGAAACCGGAAGUAAACGUCCUGUAUUAGCCCAUGGGCCAAUACAGCUUUUAUCUGUAUUGGCCCUGUUCGAAAAGCAAUAUGAGCUCUUGAUUUAUAUCGACAGUGGAACGUUAUCAGUAUUGCACAUGCCGAUUUAUCCGUAUUAGGGCUGUUUUAAUCGUAUUAUUUAAUAAAGUAAAAAUAUAUGUGAACUCAUGAUAUACACAGGGAUGUAUACAAAAGAAAUGAGCAGUGCCUUCUCCUAUCAUAAAAAGUGCCCUGCCCUCCACUGGCACCCUGCCCCUUUUGAAUUCUAGCUGGAGCACUGAACGGUAUAAUUAAAAAUACAACUUAAAUAACGGUAAACAGUUACAGGAAGUUAUAAAACCUCCCCCAAUUGACAUUACCAAAAAAAGUGCAAGCCCUGUUUAUAUAUCAUUAGAUAUUUGUAAAAUCUUAACAACAAUUUUAUGAAUUGUAAUUGGAAGCAUGUUUUUCUUGAAACAAAAUUCUCCCCUUCAUAUAAAGGGUUAAUAAAUAAUAUAUGUGUAAUUUUAAGUCCUUUACUAUUAGACUGUCAGUGGGUUUGUUCUUCUAAAACCUUGACAGUUUAACUGUCUGUGUUUAAUCAUCUAAGACCUUGACAAUCUGACUCUCAUUGUGUUUAACCAUCAGUGAAGAUGACUGUAAACAGUGAUAUAAUACUGAAAAAUCAGGCUUUAACAAAAUAAAUCAAGUUAAAUCAAAUUGUCAUGGUCUUAGAUGAUAAAUGACCUUCAUACUCAAUAACAGUGAUAACAAACAUUGGAUUUUAAUUUGGAUGGAUUCUGUGUAUAUAUCAGAAAAUCAUUGCAUUAAAACUGAUUUAUUUAAAUGGAAAUAGGUUUUAUUGAAUGAGUAAGUAAUAAUUUAUAUUGUUCCUCUAUUGUAGGAAUGUGCCUUGCAGAUUCAUGGGACAUACAGUAGAAGCAGAGGGAUUAUAUCAGAAUUACCUCUUAGUGUCCCAAGUGCUACAGGUGUCAUUCUAGCUCAUGGUAGGUAUUAUUUAUAAUGAAUUCAUCAAAAAGCAAAAAUCACUAUAAGAUAGAGCUGAUAAACAUUAAUUAUUUAUUAGUUGUAUUUUUUUCUAAUCUACCUUCCAGUAACUGCUAUUACUUUUAAAUUAAUAUUGUGUGUCUUUUGCCUCUUUAUUGUUUUGUUUGUUGAUUUUCAUGUUUCACAGUCAUCUGAUUUUCCACGUGAUAUUUACAGUUUAUUCAAAUUUUCUGUGACACCUCUGACCAAGGUGAGGCGAGGGUACUCUUUCCUGCAGUAAUUAUAUUUUAUCAAAUAUGCAUUUAAGAGGACAACCGCAUAACUGCAAAAAAAUUAUGCAUGAAUGGUCUUCUUAAAAUAGAUAUGUUUAGUAUUGGAAGGAACAACUACAAACAAUGUUUUUUGUGUUAUGCAGGUCAUGUAGCUGAUGCUUUACAGACGACCAAACCAGAUGUGUAUAUAACUACUGACGGUAGAUACAAUUGGAGAAAGGUCUGUCACACGCAUAGAUAUAAUAAGCAAAACUUACUUAAAGUAAAUGAAACUUUGAUUCAAUGGGUACAAACAAACCAAAGGCCCUUUAUAGCUUGCUGUUCUAUGUGAAUCAAGGCUUUGAGUUGAAGGCCGUACUUUGACCCAUAAUGGUUUAUUUUUUACUAAGUGUGACUUGGAUGGAUUGAUGUCUCAUUGGCACUCAUACCACAUCUUUGUUUAUCUAUAUAAAACCAUAAUACUUGGUAGGGGGAUUUGUAACGAAAAUAUUUGUGAGGGCAUUUGAUAAUAUAUGAGAUAUAUUGAAAUAGAAUGUAGUGGUAUGAUUGCCAAUGAAGCAAUUAUCCACCAGACACCAAAUGAUGAAGAAGGUAGGCAACUAUAGGUCACUGUACAGCCUUUCAAGAAUGAGCAAACCCAAAACUGCAAAGCAUGUAUUAUAAAUAUGUAAAUCAAUAAAAAAAAAAAAAAUAUGAUAUACAUUAACAAAUGAAAACCACUAAAGUACAUAUUCCUGACUUCAGACAGUCAUAUACAAAAUGUGUGGUUUAGACACGCAAAAGGGUCUUAUUUGCUGUUUUCAUUUUAUAAUUUAGUUUAUAAGCCAUUGCAAAUACCUGGCAGGGCUAAUUAAAAUGAGAAUGUGGAAAUAAUUUGUCAAUUUUACUAAAUAUUAUAUAUCUUGUAAAAACAGUUCACUGAAGGUUAUUAUCGUGUAAUUGUUCAUUGAUGAAAGCUUUUAAUAUGCUAAUUAUCCUUUAAUAUGUACCAAUGUAACAGGUAGAGUAUUCAUAUUGAUAAUAAUAAAGGGGCCUCAGUGAUCGAGUGGUCUAAGUAAGUACUUCUGUAAUCACUAGCCAGUCAACACAGAGGUUGUGAGUUGAAACCCUACUCGUGCGAGUGCACUCGACUCCAAUCUUAAUUCUUAAUUGACUAGGAUUGUCAGUUUUCCAAUCGAAGUCAGUGGUUUUCUCCAGGCACUUUGGAUUCCUCCACCUAUAAAAACUGCACAUUACGAAAUAGUCCAAACGUGGUGCUAUAAAAUGGUAUUAAAAACACAAAUCAGCAGUAUUCUUUAUGAUUCUCUUUGAGGCUUUAGAUGGUCCACAUCAUUAUCAUAUAGCAGACAGUGGUAGUUUACUAGUGGCAGUCCCAGCUGAUACAACUCAACCUAAACUUAUCAAAUUUCUACUGACGAGGGAAGGUGUUGGCAUACAUACGAUUUCAUUGACAAGGAGAGUAAUGAGACUAUCAUGUUUACUGGACUGUUAACAGAGCCUGGGUCCAAGGCCUUGACUGUCAGUAUAUGGGGUUAUAAACCAGACACAAGAAAGUGGACCACAUUUAUCAUUGAUUUCCAAAAAAUAUUCAAAAAGAAGUGUGGUAUGUAUCAUGAAUUUCUGAUGCCCAAAAUUAAGUUCUUUGUGACUUUUCUCAUUUCUAUUGGUGUAAAGUUUUCUUGGUCUCUAACCCCUAGGUGUUUUUUUUUAAAUGAUGUUUAGACGUACUUGAAAUCUUUAUUUCCUCCCAAGAUUAGUAAACAUGGUAAAUGAUUAAAUUAUAAAGAUAAGUUUCUAUACUAAUGGUAAGGUCAUUUUAAAAAAGGGAAAUGAGAUAAAAUGUUCUUGUGUCUUUUCUUGCUUAUUGAUUCACCAUACCCAUCAUAUAAAACCUAAAUUUACCAGAUAUGAUGUCAUUGUGGUUGUUAUCAACCCCUAAGUGUCCUUUAGUUUUUGUGUUGUUUGGUAGGAAUGUUUCAUUGAAAGGAGUAGGUCCAGUAAGACCCCUUUUUGGCCCCAAAAUAAAGCAGUUUUACAAAAUUGUUAAAAUGUAAACUUUUAGUUAUUUAUUGGAUAGUAGAAUUGUUCUGCUACAUAAAUAUAGGCUGUUUUUGACGUUUCAAUGCACAUAUAUUGGGUACUAGCACCAUUAAGUCAUGCUAAAUUACUGAAAUAUUCAAAAUUCCAGCAUUUUAGUUUAAUUUCAGACGGUUUCCGUGUAAAACGAAAGUUCAUCCAAAAUAUUGAAAUCUUUCAUAUAUAUUAUUUGAAUCAAAUGAAAUGGACACUACUCAUCAUUAAAAACGCUCCGAUUCAAGCUCAAAUACGAAAAAUCUACCAAAUAUGCGAAAAAAUGUCACUUUUCAGAUGGUUUUUGUCAAAAAUGAAAUUGGCCGCAUUUGUGUUCAUCCUCAAUCUUUAUAUAUGUUAUGUAUUAUUAUCAAAUACAACUUCCAUUUCAAUAUUUUGGAUGAACACGAAUGGGGCCACUUUCGUUUUACCUUUAACCAUGUAUCUUCUUUUAUCCUUACCGGACCUACUCCUUUAACCAUGUAUCUUCUUUUAUGCAUAUAUUUGGGGUUUUCAUUUGACUAUACAAUAAAGGUAAAAAAAACACUAAACUCAGGCAUGGUCAUAAAUAACAUACAAAAAAGUAGUACAUAUUUUAAACAAAAUAGUUUGAUACAUUUCUGCAACUUUGUCAAUAAGUAAAAUAUUUAGGUUGUUUAUGUAUUAAAUGAAAGUUUAAGUGCCGCAUGUGGAGCAGGAUCUGCUUACCCUUCCGGAGCACCUGAGAUCACCCCUAGUUUUUGGUGGGGUUCGUGUUGUUUAUUCUUUAGUUUUCUAUGUAGUGUCAUGUGUACUAUUGUUUUUCUGUUUGUCUUUUUUCAUUUUUAGCCAUGGCGUUGUCAGUUUGUUUUAGAUUUACGAGUUUGACUGUCCCUUUGGUGUCUUUCGUCCCUCUUUUAAGGACUUUAGAUCCCUGCAGAAGCCUUGUUUUCCUUUUGAAUUAUAAAAAAAAAUACAGGAAAUUUAAAUAGAAGGGCAUAUUUUUUGUAUGUACUUCCAAACUUCCAGGAUGGUGGGCUCUAAAAUGCAAGUAAGGGUAUGUUGAAUUUUUAUGCCCCAAAUUAGAUAGUAGAGGGGCAUUAUGUUUUCUGGUCUGUCCAUCCGUUCGUCCGUCUGUCUGUCUGUCCGUUGUCCGUCUGUCCCACUCCAGGUUAAAGUUUUUGGUCAAGGUAGUUUUUGAUGAAUGGACUUCAAACUUAGUACACAUGUUCCCUGUGAUAUGAUCUUUCUAAUUUUAAUGCCAAAUUAGAGUUUUUACCCCAAUUUCACGGUCCACUGCACAUGGAAAAUGAUAGUGCGAGUGGGGAAUUCGCGUACUGAGGACACAUUCUUGUUCUGCAUAAGUCUGGACAAGGUAUACUGUAGUUUCGACUUUAGAUGACUGUCUCUUUAUUUAAAUGAAAUAGCUAAGUAUGCUCAUAUUUGGCAAGAUAAUGUAUUAUUGUUCAUCCAGCUCCAGCACAGUUGAUGUUUUUUGUAUAACUUUCAACAUUACACUAUAGUUGAAAUAAUUUUAUUUCAACAGAUACUGCAACAGAUUAUGACACAUGGGUACCCCAUGAAACAAGUAAUGAAAAAGGAAAUAUACAAGGAUGUCUGCUGGGAAAUAAAGAAACGUUUAAAAAAGUAAAAAAAGACUCAUGGUAUGUUAAAAGUGUUGAGUGAAUUGAGAUUUUUUAUACAAUAGGAGUUUUUCUCCUGUUUUGUAGCAAGUACAAAUAAAUUUCAUAACUUAGUGGUAUCCUUAACUUAACCCGACAAUUGAAACUUUAUCAUUGUUUCUAAUAUCUCAAAGAAUUCAAUAUACAUUUAGUUGAAACACUGACAGCAAACAGGACCCCAAAAUGAACUGGUUAGGAAACAGAAAUAUUCAUAUCGUAUUCGGCCGUGUAUAGUACGCAUUUAUACAUAGUCCGCACCCCCUCUUCAUCCCCUUAAAAUCGAGAAAAAAAAGUUUUGUAAAAAAGUUUUUUUUUUUUGUUUUUUUUUUUAUAAAAGUGAAGUUCACUGUAAAAAUCCAAAUGUAUUUAAUAGAAAAAAAAAUGUGUUUUUUUUUUUUUUUUUAAAUAAUAAAAUGGUAGAGCUUUUCAUCAGGUAAUUCAUAUUUGAUAAUUUUAUAAAAGUAGUUAUCAUCAAAAGAUCUCUUUUAAAAUCAACAUUUGUCUAAGUUUGUCCAAGCUGAUAUAUAAUAUAACAGAAAUAAUUUGAAUAUUAUGGAACAAAAGAAAAAAGAGAUCAAACAUUUAUCUAAACUAAUUAGCAGUAAUCAAAAUUUUAAAACUAUUUAAUCUUAUAUAAUCUUUUCAUUGAUCAUGUUGUUUUUUUGCCUGGGAUUAUAAUAUCUAACACCUGUCAAAACUUGACAUCAUAAUUUAAUUGCUACACACCCAUACUUAAUCCUUAAUUACCCGUCUUAAUUACCUAUGCAGGAUGUCACACUUUCACUUUGAAUAAUCAAUUUUGAAGAGAAAAGUUAAAAAAGAAUAAGAUUUGAAUGAAAUAAAUAUCAUAAACGUCUCCAAUAUUCAUAAUUCAGGGAAAAAAAAAGAAAAAAAAAAGAUUUUUUUUUUUUAUGAAUUUCGAAAACCGUCUUUAGUUGUGUAUAGUCCACAUCCCUUGUACAAACUACAUAUUUAAGGAAAAAAAGUGCGGACUCUACAUGCCCAAAUACGGUUUAACGCUUUAUUGAAAUGAUUCAUUAUGUUCAAGUUGAAUAGUUAAUCAAUACAAAACUGUUAAAUAUGUCUGAAUUUUUGUCCUUUUGAAGGUGCUAUAAUGGUGCAGAUCACCCAUUGGAACAUACAGGAGAAGCAUGUACAUGUGUCAGGGAUGAUUAUGAAUGGUAAGAUAUGUAUAAUGGCUAGUGUUGUGAUAUAUUGAGUUAAUUGUCAUAAUAGAGAUGUCAGAGACAUAUAAUGCCAAAUUUUUAAAACUGCUAUAUUAAAUACAGAUAUAAUAUUAGACUGUAUAAUUAUAUUUUUAUCAAUCACCUCUUUAAAGAUUUUCUCCACUACAGCAUAUUUUCAAUCAACGCUUGAAAGUUUUUAUUUUUUUCCCGUUUUAAAUAAAGAUAUUAUGGACAAAAAAAGUAGAACAUCAUCCAAAAAUGAAAAUUAACAGAUGUCCCACAAAAAAGGAUGGUGUACUGACUUUUGAUGAAAUUUCUGUAAGUUCCUAAUCACUGGUAAUACUCAUUUCUGCACGUUAAAGACACUUGUAGAUUUUCAUAAGAGCAGUCCUAUGUGGCUACAAGGCAGCACUCUUAUCAGCAAAGUGGAAAAGGAUUAAUAUUAGUUGUAAUAAUUUUUUUCCCAAUCCACUAUACAUAAAAAUGAUUAAACUAAAAACAUAAUACAUGUGUUAUAUAAAUAUUUCAGUGAUUAUGGGUUUUACCGACCUGAUGGUAGGGAUGAUUGUGUAGAACAACCUAAUUUCAAUUUACCUAAGGUGGAUGUAUGUAAACAAGGUCACGAAGAACAAGUUAUAACACAGGGGUAGGUAUCAUUAUUUUAAAUCAAUUUAACUGGUCAUGAAGAACAAGUUAUAACACAGGGGUUGUAAUAAUUAUUUUAACUUAAUUUAACUGAAGUUGAUACACCUUAUCGCUAUUUGUCUGCCAUUACAAGACAUCACAAGUGGAAAGUGAUUGUUGUAUGAUGUCCAAAGUUCAAGCGGGACAGAUUAUCGGGUCAAGUGGAAAGAGCGAUAAGCUGAUUUAUGGAAGCAAGAGUCUCUCCCUCAUUGACAUAAAGGUACAUUUUAUCUGAAACUUAUAUCACAUAAGAAAUAAUAUUUAUUGUUUUUUAUAGCAAGUGAGAAUUUGUUAACGGCUCAAAUUUUUAAAUUUCAAUAUAAUAAUGACCAAUAUGUCCUAUUCCUCCUUAAACUUUAAACACACAUGUUUUUUGCCAUAGAUAGGGGCAUAUUUUCCAAAGUAAAAAGUUGUGAAGGAAGAAGACAGAUUACUCAAUACAUAAAAAAAGACUUUCCUGACUAUGGGUGCAAUCAACAGUAUUUUUCUAUGAUGUCAUGUUUUAAGGGACCAUGCAUAUGUGACCCUUACUGGUGGACUGAUUAAUAAAGAUACUUGUAUAAAACUAGAUAUCACUGGAAUCAGAAUGCUCUCUGGUUUAUAAUGAAAUAAAAAUAAUGUGUACUUUUAAUAUAUUAUAAAAAUUUCAUCCAAUGAACAUGGGGGGAAAAAAGGUAUAAUUUUAACAUAAAAAACUUGAAAUCAGGUCAAGUGCACACCCAUGUCAGACAUGAUCCAUGCACAUUUUGCAUAAUCAAAACUGUAUGAAUAUUGUAGGUUUUUACCUGGCCUUUCAAAAAAAUCUUGUUUCAGGGUUCGAUUUCCUGCUCCGAAAAGAGCUACAGUGGCUGCAAAUAAGUUUUCAAUUUUCACUGCUAAAAAAACAGACUGUUUACAGUGUUGUCUCCCCUAGAAACAUGUUUAUUUAAUAUAAUUUUUAAAAUUAUUUCAAUCAUUCAACCUGUUUUGAUUUAAAGCUAAUUAACUAAUUUUUACAAACAAAUACAAAAAACAUGAUACUUUUUCACCAAGUAAGUAAAUAAACAGGGGUUUUCCUCCAUAGUUAUUUUUAGACGGGGAAUAAUCCCUAGUUUUUAGUACGAAACUGUUUAUAGCACCCUAUGAGACAGGUAGCAUUGAUAUAUUGUUUACAGAAUUGUAAUACAAUGUAUUUUGUUUUUUCACAGAUAUAGAAAAAUACCAAAUGAUAAAUGUGUUGGAGGGUUUUCGCCAAGUGGAAAAAUGUUAAAUUUAGGUGAACAGUGUGCAUCAAAACAUGAGGGUCAGAUAGAUGUGGAGGAAGUACCACAAGAAACAAAGGUAGGGAUAUUUUAUCACUGUAUAUAUCAAGAUCUAUCAAGGAGUUGGUUUGUCAGUCUUUAUUUUUUCUUGGUUUUGGACAUUUUUGUUGUUGUAAUAUUUUAAACAGGAAAAUAACUCUUUUGCAAAUAUUUGGAAGAGAACAGUUAAGUGUAUCACUACUGCUAAAACCUGAUAAUGCAAUGCAGACAAUAAACAGACACUUUAAGCAUAAUGCAACAAAAAAACCAGUUAGAUAUUUAUAGAAUUAAUGAUCCAAUACAUUAUUAACAAGUGACCAAACAACACAUUGAUUCUUUAUCAAAAUAAAUGCCCCAAAAAAUGCUCUUUACUACAAGACUUUUAUUCCUACCAAGUAUUAUAGAUGACAACUCAUGUUGCUGUCAAAUAUGACUGCUAUAUUCCAUUUAGGGAUUUUAUCACUUUUUGAAAAAAUAUAAGAUUGAACAUGUGUAACAUAUAUGAGUUGAGUCAAACAGGCUUCGUCGAAACUCUUUUGUCUUUCUUUUGUGGGUUUUGUGAGUAAAUAGGAUAUUUAUAAAAUUUAUUAUAGCCCCGCUUUAAAAAAGUCGAGGGCAACGGUUUUAUCUCUGUCUGUCUGUCUGUCAGUCCAUUAGUAGGUCCAACCAUCCAUCAAUCUGUGCAUCCAAUGAAUAUUUUCGUCACAUUUUUCGCAGGAACUACACUACAAGGAUUUCUGAAAUUUGGUUUCAGGGUAUAUAUAAUUUAACUAUACCGUAGGGGUAUCAUCAGUUAACAGUAGCUCACAGUUUCACUUGUUUAACACAAAUAUUAUUUUUUUUCUUUCAGAAAACUAACAAUGCCAGUGCUAUAGUAGCUGUGUUUGUGAUUGUUGCUUUAAUAGUAACAAUUAUGGUUGGAUUUUUUGUUUAUAAAUAUAUCAUAUUACGUAAACAGUAAGUAUAAUGUGUAGAUUAUCUAGCAAACAAAACAUAUGGGUUUUAUGGAACCCCCUGUAAAUACUUUAAAUGAAAAAAAUGUAUUUCUAAGAUGAUUAUUUGUUUAUCUGUCAGUAUUUUGUGAUAUUAGUUUUACUUAAAAAUGUAAGCGAUCAAAGUUGAUCAGCAUCUUCCAGUCUGUAAAUACUUUUAUAGAAAACAUUCACUUGAUCUACUCAAAUGUGAGGUUUAUUAACUAUUUACCAAAUGUUUGGAAUUUAUAUAUGUCAUUCAGGUCACCUCAAUCAAGAAAGCACUAAUCAAUAUACAACUUACAUAAAUCCUUAAAAUCAUCAAGCAAACUUGACAUUUGAUGAAUAAAUAGUACCUAUUCAACCCUAACCAAUGUAUUAUAUUAUUAAUAUUUGUUUGAUAAUAACAUGUAAAAAUAAUUCUACUGUGAAGCAAAUAACAUUUUCUUAAGCAGUUCAUGUAUAUGAUCAUUUGUAAAGGAUAAUUUUCUAAUAAAUUCGUUUUAUUUAAUGGAGAAAUUUCACUGCUUAAAAAAUAACCUGCUAUUUCUUUUCAGUAAUGUGACCUAUAGAUAUUCAUUAGUAAACCAAAAUGAUGGUGUUAGUUAUGAUGAUGAAUUAGAAAAUGCAUUAACUAAAGCAGGAUUAUAUCAUGAUUCUUCAGAUGAUGAGGUAAAUAUAAAUAAGAAGAUUUGGUAUGAGUGCCAAUGUGACAACUCUUCAUACAACUUGCAAUGUAUAAAUAUAAUGGUUAAAGAAGGAACACAAGAUAUAUGGAAUUCUUGGAAAUACCUAUGGCAUUUUUUGCUGUUCUUCAUCUUGAAUACAUUUAACAAGUGACCGAAAUCAAAAUAAAUGUCCCCAAAAAUGCAAGAAAAACAACAAGACUUUAAAUUCCUACCAAGCAUUAUAGAUGACAACUCAUGUUGCUGUUUUUCAGUAAAUUAAGAAAAGAGGUUGUAAACAAUGGGUUCAAAAAGUUCAAAAAGUUAGGUACUGUUAUUUAUAGCAAUAUAAUGAAUUUGAGCUUUACUUCGAUUGAUUUGCAUGUUUCUGAAAUAAACAUCAUCAGAUAUGACAACAAAUUGGAAAGUACAAAACAGGACAACAGGAUGAAGGUGAAGUUCGUUUUUGUUUGAUAAUUUAAUUUAGAUCUAUGAAUUUGUAAUAAAUGUAUAAAGGGAUUAAUAUGAAAAAGACAUAAUGCAAAUAAUAUUAUGAUGCAAGUUUUGACUGUAAUUUGGAAAAUUUAAUUUGAAUUUCAUUAGGAAUUGAAUUCUCCUGCUGUAAAGAAACAGAAUGAUACUGUCAGUAAUGGUGGAUCACCAAAGGAACAGUGACCAUCAAGGUCAAAUCAGUUACAGAAUGACAUACAAUCAUACCAUGAGGAUUCUGAUGUGGUGAGUAAACACACAAAAUACACAAUAUACAAUCAUACCAUGAUGAUUCUGAUGUGGUGAGUAAACACACAAAAUACACAAUCAUACCAAGAUGAUUCUGAUGUGGUGAGUAAACACACAAAAUACACAAUAUACAAUCAUACCAUGAUGAUUCUGAUGUGGUGAGUAAACACACAAAAUACAAAAUAUACAAUCAUACCAUGAUGAUUCUGAUGUGUAGUGAGUAAACACACAAAAUACACAAUAUACAAUAUCAUACCAUGAUGAUUCUGAUGUAGUGUGAGUAAACACACAAAAUACACAAUAUACAAUCAUACCCAUGAUGAUUCUGAUGUGGUGAGUAAACACACAAAAUAUACACAUAUACAAUCAUACCAUGAUGAUUCUGAUGUAAGUGAGUAAACACACAAAAUACACAAUAUACAAUCAUAUGAUACCAUGAUGAUUCUGAUGUAGUGAGUAAACACACAAAAUACACAAUAUACAAUCAUACCAUGAUGAUUCUGAUGUGGUGAGUAAACACACAAAUACACAAUAUACAAUCAUACCAUGAUGAUUCUGAUGUGGUGAGUAAACACACAAUAUACACAAUAUACAAUCAUACCAUGAUGAUGAUUUCUGAUGUUGAUGUGAGUAAACACACAAAUAUAUACACAAUAUACAAUCAUACCAUGAUGAUUCUGAUGUGGUGAGUAAACACACAAAAUACACAAUAUACAAUCAUACCAUGAUGAUUCUGAUGUAGUGAGUAAACACACAAAAUACACAAUAUACAAUCAUACCAUGAUGAUUCUGAUGUGUGAGUAAACACACAAAAUACACAAUAUACAAUCAUACCAUGAUGAUUCUGAGUGGUGAGUAAACACACAAAAUACACAAUAUACAAUCAUACCAUGAUGAUUCUGAUGUGGUGAGUAAACACACAAAAUACACAAUAUACAAUCAUACCAUGAUGAUUCUGAUGUGGUGAGUAAACACACAAAAUACACAAUAUACAAUCAUACCAUGAUGAUUCUGAUGUGAUGAGUAAAACACAAAAACACACAAUCAUACCAUAUGCACAUAUAUAUACAAUCAUACCAUGAUGAUUCUGAUGUGUGAGUAAACACACAAAAUACACAAUAUACAAUCAUACACAUGAUGAUUCUGAUGUAGUGAGUAAACACACAAAAACAAUAUACACAAUAUACAAUCAUACCAUGAUGAUUCUGAUGUAGUGAGUAAACACACAAAAUACACAAUAUACAAUCAUACCAUGAUGAUUCUGAUGUAGUGAGUAAACACACAAAAUACACAAUAUACAAUCAUACCAUGAUGAUUCUGAUGUGGUGAGUAAACACACAAAAUACACAAUAUACAAUCAUACCAUGAUGAUUCUGAUGUAGUGAGUAAACACACAAAUACACAAUAUACAAUCAUACCAUGAUGAUUCUGAUGUGGUUGGUAAACACACAAAACACACAAUAUACAAUCAUACCAUGAUGAUUCUGAUGGUGAGUAAAACACACAAAAUACACAAUAUACAAUCAUACCAUGAUGAUUCUGAUGUGGUGAGUAAACACACAAAAUACACAAUAUACAAUCAUACCAUGAUGAUUCUGAUGUGUGAGUAAACACACAAAAUACACAAUAUACAAUCAUACCAUGAUGAUUCUGAUGUGGUGAGUAAACACACAAAAUACACAAUAUACAAUCAUACCAUGAUGAUUCUGAAUGUGGUGAGUAAACACACAAAAUACACAAUAUACAAUCAUACCAUGAUGAUUCUGAUGUGGUGAGUAAACACACAAAAUACAAUCAUACCAUGAUGAUUCUGAUGUGGUGAGUAAACACACAAAAUACACAAUAUACAAUCAUACCAUGAUGAUUCUGAUGUGGUGAGUAAACACACAAAAUACACAAUAUACAAUCAUCAUACCAUGAUGAUUCUGAUGUGGUGAGUAAACACACAAAAUACACAAUAUACAAUCAUACCAUGAUGAUUCUGAUGUGGUGAGUAAACACACAAAAUACACAAUAUACAAUCAUACCAUGAUGAUUCUGAUGUGGUGAGUAAACACACAAAAUACACAAUAUACAAUCAUACCAUGAUGAUUCUGAUGUGGUGAGUAAACACACAAAAUACACAAUAUACAAUCAUACCAUGAUGAUUCUGAUGUAGUGAGUAAACACACAAAAUACAAUCAUACCAUGAUGAUUCUGAUGUGGUGAGUAAACACACAAAAUACACAAUAUACAAUCAUACCAUGAUGAUUCUGAUGUGGUGAGUAAACACACAAAUACACAAUAUACAAUGAUCCUCAGAUGAUUCUGAUGUGGUGAGUAAAACACACAAAAUACACAAUAUACAAUCAUACUGAUGAUUCUGAUGUAGUGAGUAAACACACAAAAUACACAAUAUACAAUCAUACCAUGAUGAUUCUGAUGUAGUGAGUAAACACACAAAAUACACAAUAUACAAUCAUACCAUGAUGAUUCUGAUGUGGUGAGUAAACACACAAAAUACACAAUAUACAAUCAUACCAUGAUGAUUCUGAUGUGGUGAGUAAACACACAAAUACACAAUAUACAAUCAUACCAUGAUGAUUCUGAUGUAGUGAGUAAACACACAAAAUACACAAUAUACAAUCAUACCAUGAUGAUUCUGAUGUGGUGAGUAAACACACACAAAUACACAAUAUACAAUCAUACCAUGAUGAUUCUGAUGUGUGAGUAAACACACAAAAAAUACACAAUAUACAAUCAUACCAUGAUGAUUCUGAUGUAGUGAGUAAACACACAAAUACACAAUAUACAAUCAUACCAUGAUGAUUCUGAUGUAGUGAGUAAACACACAAAAUACACAAUAUACAAUCAUACCAUGAUGAUUCUGAUGUGGUGAGUAAACACACAAAAUACACAAUAUACAAUCAUACCAUGAUGAUUCUGAUGUGUGUGAGAUAAACACACAAAAUACACAAUAUACAAUCAUACCAUGAUGAUUCUGAUGAUGGAUGAGUAAACACACAAAAUACACAAUAUAUACAUCAUACCAUGAUGACUGAUUGGUGAGUAAACACACAAAAUACACAUAUACCAUGAUGAUAUCUGAUGUGGUGAGUAAACACACAAAAUACACAAUAUACAUGCAUGAGUAAACAUGAUGAUUCUGAUGUGGUGAGUAAACACACAAAAUACACAAUAUACAAUCAUACCAUGAUGAUUCUGAUGUGUGAGUGAGUAAACACACACAAAUACACAAUAUACAAUCAUACCAUGAUGAUUCUGAUGUAUGUGAGUAAACACACAAAAUACACAAUAUACAAUCAUACCAUGAUGAUUCUGAUGUGGUGAGUAAACACACACAAAAUACAACAUACCAUAUACAAUCAUACCAUGAUGAUGUCUGAUGUGUGAGUAAACACACAAAAUACACAAUAUACAAUCAUACACAUGAUGAUUCUGAUGUAGUGUGAGUAAACACACAAAAUACACAAUAUACAAUCAUACCAUGAUGAUUCUGAUGUGGUGAGUAAACACACAAAAUACACAAUAUACAAUCAUACCAUGAUGAUUCUGAUGUGGUGAGUAAAACACACAAAUACACAUAUACAAUCAUACCAUGAUGAUUCUGAUGUGGUGAGUAAACACACAAAAUACACAUAUAUACAAUAAACAUACCAUAUGAUGAUUCUGAUGUGGAUGAGUAAACACACAAANNNNNNNNNNNNNNNNNNNNNNNNNNNNNNNNNNNNNNNNNNNNNNNNNNNNNNNNNNNNNNNNNNNNNNNNNNNNNNNNNNNNNNNNNNNNNNNNNNNNNNNNNNNNNNNNNNNNNNNNNNNNNNNNNNNNNNNNNNNNNNNNNNNNNNNNNNNNNNNNNNNNNNNNNNNNNNNNNNNNNNNNNNNNNNNNNNNNNNNNNNNNNNNNNNNNNNNNNNNNNNNNNNNNNNNNNNNNNNNNNNNNNNNNNNNNNNNNNNNNNNNNNNNNNNNNNNNNNNNNNNNNNNNNNNNNNNNNNNNNNNNNNNNNNNNNNNNNNNNNNNNNNNNNNNNNNNNNNNNNNNNNNNNNNNNNNNNNNNNNNNNNNNNNNNNNNNNNNNNNNNNNNNNNNNNNNNNNNNNNNNNNNNNNNNNNNNNNNNNNNNNNNNNNNNNNNNNNNNNNNNNNNNNNNNNNNNNNNNNNNNNNNNNNNNNNNNNNNNNNNNNNNNNNNNNNNNNNNNNNNNNNNNNNNNNNNNNNNNNNNNNNNNNNNNNNNNNNNNNNNNNNNNNNNNNNNNNNNNNNNNNNNNNNNNNNNNNNNNNNNNNNNNNNNNNNNNNNNNNNNNNNNNNNNNNNNNNNNNNNNNNNNNNNNNNNNNNNNNNNNNNNNNNNNNNNNNNNNNNNNNNNNNNNNNNNNNNNNNNNNNNNNNNNNNNNNNNNNNNNNNNNNNNNNNNNNNNNNNNNNNNNNNNNNNNNNNNNNNNNNNNNNNNNNNNNNNNNNNNNNNNNNNNNNNNNNNNNNNNNNNNNNNNNNNNNNNNNNNNNNNNNNNNNNNNNNNNNNNNNNNNNNNNNNNNNNNNNNNNNNNNNNNNNNNNNNNNNNNNNNNNNNNNNNNNNNNNNNNNNNNNNNNNNNNNNNNNNNNNNNNNNNNNNNNNNNNNNNNNNNNNNNNNNNNNNNNNNNNNNNNNNNNNNNNNNNNNNNNNNNNNNNNNNNNNNNNNNNNNNNNNNNNNNNNNNNNNNNNNNCCGACUGUUUUUAUAAACUUUACAACUAUCUCUAAGCUCCAUACUAUAAUUCAAGUAAGAUGCAUAAAAUUCUAAAUUUUCAAGACCAUGAGCAUAGGAGGAUCCAGUGGGUGGAGCCCCCCCCCCUUUUCGUGGGAAAAAUUUGGUUGCUAUAUAGGGAAUCACUAAGCGUGACUGAAGCGUCAGCGGCCCCCUUAGGUCAAUCAGAGCCCCCCUUUUCACUAAAAGUUCUGGAUCCGCCACUCAUGAGAAACAGAUGUUAUUAAUUCAAAUAUACCAAUUUGCAUUUUUACCUAAUCUAACAAAGAGUUCGAUUUAUUUUGCUUCAUUUCAACAGGGUUUCAGUCUGGGUUACCGCAUAACUAAAGUGAAACCAAGGAUUUAAAAUAAUACCGAAAAUAUGACUGUCAGGGUCAUUGUACUUGAUAGUAAUAACCCAUAUUAUACAUGCAAACAUUAUUUUUAAAUAAUAGGUUUAAUCACUAAAAGGUCAUGUGAUGCUACUUGUAUAGGACGGGGUGUGUUCGAUGUGUUAAUCAAUCAAGAAACCCCCACCAGAUCAUAUCAUCAUGACCAACUUUGAAAUUGCGUAUUCAUGUCAAAUUUAGGUGUGCCACUGUAUGAAUGGUUUUAACCGAUUGAUAAUUCAUUUCUCAACAUUACUUACUCAAAUUAAAAAUACACACGAAAUGAAGCUACAUAGUAUCGAGCCCAUACCCUGUAAAUUGUUUAUUUAAGAUAUUUUUUAUAAUUUGGAUGAAUGUUGUACAUUGUUAUAGAUCUAAUAUGUGAAUUUUAGUCGAAUCUGUGAACACGAAUUUGACAUUUAGUGCCCUUAAGGCUUUAAUAAAGAAUUUUAUUAUUAAUUUAUAAUACGCUGAUAUUUUGAAAUGAAGCACACCCUCAUAAAGAGAGAUAACUCUAAACAUCCAAACCUCUCCAAUGAAGAGAUUUAAAAGUUUAUAUGUUUUCAGAAUUUCUAGAACGAAUAAGAAGCUUUAAACAGUUUUAAACACAUCAUCAGUAUACAAAAAAGGUAAUUCAUGUUUUUUUUCUUAAAGUUAACAUUGACUUUAUCCAUUAAAAAGGAUUUAUUUAAAAAACAAUAAUGUGAUCACUGAAACUAACACUUAAAAUUUAAUAUGCAGUCGUAGAUUCAGAAAAAGCCAUAUUUUAUAAUUUGCCAUAUGCAUUGUUGAGUACAACAGAGGUUGAGUGUCACAUAAAAAAAACCCUAAACAAACAGGCUACCGUGGAUUCAUUUAUUUUUGUUUAAUUUUUGAGCAUUGAAUAAAAAUUGGCUUUUUCGUGGAUAUUUGAUUUCAUUGUUUUGACAGUCGAUAUAUAAAACUGUAUGAAAUUUGUUAUUUGUUGAACAUUUCAUGGUUCAUCUGUUACAAAGAAUUCCACGUAAAUACACCUUAUCGCUAAUCCCGACUGAUGCCAGAAUCGUUCCCGCUUGAACUGUUGACGUCAUACAACAAUCUCUAUUUCAUGGUGGCGUCAAAUAUUUUGUAUUAUGACCUCAAAUUUUUAGGGGAACCUGUGUGAUGUCCAGUAAUGGUGGACAAAUAGCGAAAGCGGAAAGGUGGAUUGGUAUCCAAUGAAUAUUUGAAACCACACUAUCGUAAUUGGGCUUGUAUAGUCCACACUGGUACAUAGUUCGCACCCCUUCUCAAUACACCUUACGGCUAAUCCUGGCUGACCACAGAAUAUGUCCUGCUCGAAUAAUUGACGUCAUACAACAAUUAUUUUUCCAUUUUGGCAUCAAAUAUUUUGUAUUAUGAUGUCUAAAUUUUACGGGAAACUGUGUGAUGUCCAGUAUUUGCGGACAAAUAGUGAUAAGCAUAAAGGUGUAUGUUCUCCCCUCGAAAUUUCAAAAAAAAAUAUUUUUUGUUACUGUAUGAAAGGGUCAAAUGAAACUUGUAAUUUCAAAUCUUGUGUUGUCAAUUGUGGUAUUUAUUUUCUUGAAAAAACAUGUUUUCCAUCAUCAAACAGAAGCUGAAACUGCUUGCUAAUGAUUCCAGAACACUUCACAAUUGUAAAAAUAAGUCAAAAUCACACAAAAAAAUGUAGAAACUUGUGUACGGUGCAGUCCGGUGUAUCUGCGCACCUAAGACUUAUGACUUCACCAUGUGUUGACUUCAUUCAACUAAUAAAAUUAUUAGUUUGUAGGGUUUAACCCUCAAGAUUUUGUAUAAUGUGUGUUUAAAAGUGGGGGAACCCCUGUUCUGAGAGUUCCUCCAAUGUCCGGUGAUUUCGUGCAUGCCUUCCAAAAAUAGCUUAUUUUGAAUAGAGGAAAGAUUUGCUGCUACGAAAGGUAGCUAAAUUCAAACCAAAUACACUGCCAAGGAUGCAGAACAAAAAUUAUUUCAAUCUGAUAAAAAUUGACUUAAGUAAAACAAAUUUUAUCUGUAAUGUAUUUUUUUUAAUGGACAUUGGUCAAAUAUUGUAAAUCACGGGAUUUCAGUUAUUAUUUCAAUCUGGAAGUUUUUAAUUUUAUUCUUUUUUAUCCCUUUGGAAUGCUAAAACAAUAACAAGAACAAUUUUAUUUGUGUUACUGUGUUGACAUGACGAAAUCACCUAAUGCGCGGUAUCACCGGCCGUGCGGACACAGGGGACUCCACUGUAUGUUUAAACUGGAGGUUUGAAUAGUGGGUGUUAAAUUUAAAAAAAAAACGAUGAGAGUCGAAAUCCGUAUGUAAGAGAUAUCACCAUAAUACAACUUUGAAAGUAAAACAGUUUCAUCCUUAUGUAAAACUGAAUUUGAUUCAUAUCUGUCACAUUAAUGUUUGAAGGGUCUUAAGCUAAUACAAAACAUAUUAGUUAGUAUGAAAACACCAAAAUGGAACAAAUAAUAACCGAUUACAUUUUGUAGUUAACACAUCAAAAGAUGGUUUAAAGUUGUCUUGCCUAUUGUUACUUUAUAGUCCACACCCCUGUCUGGCAGGUUCAAUUUAAUAAAACUGUGGACUAUAGAUUAUAGAAGCCUUUUAACGGUAAAACAUUUAACUUGAUUUACAAUGUAUGUUUUUGUCUUUUUUUAGAAAUGGCUGAUAACAGUGGCACAAGUGAUUCCACAGGAAGUGGCACAAGUGAUUCCACAGGAAGUGGAUCAAGUGGGUCCACAGGAAGUGGCAGUAAUACUGAAGGCAAUACAGGACAACAAACUGGUGGCUCUGUAUUGGUAAGUCAAUCAUGUUACAAAUUUAUAUCACAUGUAAAACGUAGAUAUCUAACAUGGAUGUGCCAAACACUUAAAGUAAUUAAGUUUAAAAUUACUUUUGGUGGAGAUUUUUCAUAGUAAAUGCAUGUCAUUGUUGAUGUUGACUUUAUGAUUAUUGAAUCUGUUAUAAAGUCACAUACCAGUGAUUUAUUUUCAUGCCUUUAGCAAGUGGAAAAAUAAUGUAAAUAUAAAUUGUUUUGAAUAUGUAAAACUUGGAUGUUUCAUUAUUUUCUACAUCAAGCUGAUCAUAGAAUUGUGAAACAAAUCUCAGCAAAAUGGGUUAGAAAGGGCUUUAACUAAAAUAAAGAAGCGGUGAAAAUAAGUUUGUUUACAGAAAUUAUUAAAAAAGUUUGUUCAGUUUAUUGUGUAUUUGGUUUUUUUUAAUUUGUACAUCAAGCAUACAAAUUUGACGGACAAGUAUUUAUACAUACAAACAUGGGGAUGCCACAAAAUAUUUUUUGGAUAAGCCAAACAAAACACAUAUAUGGACAUGUCACUUGAAACGCAUAUUGGGAUUUGCCACAAAAACAUGCAUGGAAAUGCCACACAAAACACAUACUGGUAAAUGGCCUUGCCACAAAAACAUGCAUGAACAUGUCACACAAAACACAUAUAUGGACGCCACACAAAACACAUAAAUGGCCUUGCCACAAAAUCUUGCAUGGGAAUGCCUAACAAAGCACAAAUAGCACAGGAGGAAAAAAAUAAUUCUGUAACUAUAAAUGAAUAAAGAAAACAUAAACUGAAACAACUGUUUUUGUGGUUAUAGUUUAAUUGUAUUCUCAGUUAUGAAUUGAACAAUAUAAACUAAAACAUAUUAAAGAAAUAGAGCAUCAACGCGACGCGACAAACGAAAUUAAAAAAAUACAGUUAUUUUUAUUUACGCAAAAUGUGAUGCUAUCCAAAAUUUCUGGGGAGAACACUGUCAGUAUAUGAUUAUGAUAAAAAAAACAUACAUGAACCUGCCACAUAAAACAUAUGUUUAAAGAUAUGCAACAAAACAGUGUAAAUGAUAUGAUGUUAUUAUUAUAUAUAUGCAUAUUUUUUUAUUUCAGACAUUUAUGAUGUCUAAGAAGAUAGAAUCAGCUCUGUGGGCCACCCGAAUCUUUACCAUUAUCUGUACUUUUCUCUUCUUCUUUCCACUUGUUGGGUAAUAUCAUUAUUCAUUUAAUACAAUAAGGGAGGUAAUCAAAAAUCAUAAGUGUGUAAAGUGAAAGACAACACUAUGGCCUGGGGGAAAACAAACAACAGUCCACAGAAAACUAAAGAUUGAACAAUACCAACCCCACAAAAUAAAAGUUGCCAAACACAGAUUUCUGGACGUGUAAGCAGUUUCUGCUCCACCUGAGGUACCUGUUCUGCUCAUCUUGCUCAUGACAAGUACAAAGUUAAUGUAAUGUCUUAGAAAGUUGUUUCUGCUAUUACUAAAAACAUGUUUUGCUGUAAAAAAUAUACAUAAAGUUUGAAAAAGUUAACAUUCGGCUAGAUAAACAGGUUUUGUAUCAAAAUCUCAAUGGAAUAUGUUGUUAUUAUUGUACUACAGUUAUACAUUAUUAAAAUUUAAAUUGAUCCUAUAUCAUUUAAGAUGAUGAUGUUUCUUAUUGUUGGAUUCUUGAAGUUGAUGCAUCUUUUAUAUAGAUAUAGGAAAAUGUGGUAUGAGUGCCAAAGAGACAACUCUCCAUCCAAAUAACAAUUUAUAAAAGUAAACCAUUAUAGUUCAAGGUACGGCCUACAACACAGAGCCUUGGCUCACACCGAACAGCAUGCUAUUAAAGGCCCCAAAAAUUACUACUGUAAAACCAUUCAAACAGGAGAACCAACGGUCUAAUCUAUAUAAAAACAUGAAACGAGAAACACGUACGAACUACAUAACCAGACAACAACUACUGUACAUAUGUAUAUUUUGUCUUAUUUUUUUUUAUCAAACACUUGUAUUUGACUUUAGACUUUAUAUUUUCAGUGGUGGCCCAUAUGGAUUUUAUCAGCGAGCAUUGAUCAGUAAUGUUUAGGCUUUAUAUUUUCAGUGGUGGCCCAUAUGGAUUUUAUCAGCGAGCAUUGAUCAGUAAUGCUGCAACAAGUGCACUGAGACUUCAUCAACGAUUACCAAACUUUCAACUGAACAGACAGUUUUUAUCCCUCUUGUUAGCAGAAGACAGCUGCCAUUAUUUGAUUUAUUCUCUCAUGUUUAUGAAUAGCUAUCCAUUAACAAGUAUCCUUUUUCGUUCAUCAGAAGUUGUCACUUUCAAAUUAUAACAAGAAAUGCUCAGACAAAUUACCAGUGGAAGUUAAAAAUGCACAAAUGACAACCUGGGGGGACAUUCUUAAUUUUUAUUAAAUAAAGGCAACAGUAGUAUACCCCUGUUUGAAAUUCAGAAAUCGAUUGAGAAAAAACCAAAUCCGAGUUACAAACUAAAAUUGAAGGAAACACAUCAAAUAUAAGAUGAGAACUUUGACACAACAGAAACACAACACUAAAAGGCAACACACACAGAAACGAACUAUAAUAAAACAAUGGCCAUUUUCCUGACUUGGUAAAGGACAUUCUAAAAAAAAACUAGAGGCUCUAAAGAGCCUGUGUCGCUCACCUUGGUCUAUGUGAAUACAUGUAUUAAACAAAGGACACAGAUGGAUUCAAGACAAAAUUGUGGUUUGGUGAUGGUGAUGUGUUUGUAGAUCUUACUUUACUGAACAUUCUUGCUGCUUACAAUUAUCUCUGUCUAUAAUGAACUUGGCCCAGUAGUAACAGUGGAAAAUGUUAGUAAAAUUUUACAUAUUUUGUGAAAAUUGUUAAAAAAUGACUAUAUAAAGGGCAAUAACUCCUUAGGGGGUCAAUUGACCAUUUUGGUCAUGUUGACUUCUUUUCAGGUCUUACUUUGCUGUACAUUAUUGCUGUUUACAGUUUAUCUCUAUCUAUAAUAAUAUUCAAGAUAAUAACCAAAAACAGCAAAAUGUCCUUAAAAUUACCAAUUCAGGGGCAGCAACCCAACAAAGGGUUGUCCGAUUGGUCUGUAAAUUUCAGGGCAGAUAGAUCUUGACCUGAUUAACAAUUUUACACCAUGUCAGAUUUGCUCUAAAUGCUUUAGUUUUUGAGUUAUAACCCAAAAACUGCAUUUUACCCCUAUGUUCUAUUUUAGCCGUGGCGGCCAUCUUGGUUGGUAGACUGAGUCACCGGACACAUUUUUUAAACUAGAUACCCCAAAGAUGAUUGUGGCCAAGUUUGGAUUAAUUUGGCCCAGUAGUUUCAGAGAAGAAGAUUUUUGUAAAAGAUUACUAAGAUUUACGAAACAUGGUUAAAAAUUGACUAUUAAGGGCAAUAACUCCUAAAGGGGUCACCUGACCAUUUCGGUCACGUUGACUUAUUUGUAAAUCUUACUUUGCUGAACAUUAUUGCUGUUUACAGUUUAUCUCUAUCUAUAAUAAUGUUCAAGAUAAUAACCAAAAACAGUAAAAUUUCCUUAAAAUUACCAAUUCAGGGGCAGCAAUCCAACAGUAGGUUGUCUGAUUCAUCUGAAAAUUUCAGGGCAGAUAGAUCUUGACCUAAAUGCUUUGGUUUUUGAGUUAUAAGCCAAAAACUGCAUUUUAGCCCUAUGUUCUAUUUUUAGACCGACCGGGUCAGCGGACACAUUUUUUAAACUAGAUACCCCAAUGAUGAUUGUGGCCAAGUUUGGUUUAAUUUGGCCCAGUUGUUUCAGAGGAGAAGAUUUUUGUAAAAGUUAACGACGCAGGACAACGCCAGACACCGGACGCAAAGUGAUGAGAAAAGCUCACUUGGCCCUUUGGGCCAGGUGAGCUAAAAAUGGUGGGUUGAACCUGGUUUAUUGAACAUGGUCUAUAAAAGAGAGGCAAACUAUACCAAAAGGAUAUUUAAACCUAUAAGUGGAAAAUGAACCAACAACACCAUGGCAAAAAAUAAUGAAAGAAACAGUAUACAUGGAAAUCUAAAGACUUAGCAACACAAACCCCAUUACAAACCAGGUCUGAUUUUGUGUGCUCUGGAAGGCUAAGAGGAUUCUGCUUUACAUGUACAUGUAUAAGAGAAUGCAUAAAAUUUAUGAUUCAAAUGAAAUGCAUAUGAACUUUUUAAGUAUAUUAUUACUUUUAUGGAUAAAUUUUAGUUGAAAUCUUCGCUCAACUUUUUUAAAAAAGAGUCUGAAAAAUGAAAGACUUAAAAUACCAAUAUUUAACAUUUUGAAGUUCUUUCAUGAAGUUUUAUAUAAAUGAUUUAUAUAUUGUUAUUCUUAACGUUUGUUUAGUGUCUCUAAUUCCUAUCUGCUUGUAUGCAGUGUUACAUGCAUGUAACUUUACAGUAAUGAUUUUGAAUGUAAGUAUAUUUAUGAUUUGAUAUAUAAAUCCAUAAAAUAUGUGUUGGUUUUUAGAUUUUUUUCAUCCUGUUUUUCUGAAUGGUGGGCAGGUGACAGGAGUUAAGGUCCUUGAUAGAUUGGAAAAUAAGCAUAAAAUGUGGAAGGUUUGGAAAAAAACAGAAAUCGUCUUUCAAAAUACAGUUUUGUUGCCAAUUUGACAGCUCAUUUCUUGUUUCUUAAUAGACAACUUUCGAGUUUGUCUGUCGCCGGAAAAAACUCGUCAAUUAUGCACUCCUAACUGACAUGCUUUACCAGAUAGUGGGGAUUGCCUGUAUCCCUGCACUAUAAACUUUCAUCAAGCGCUUAGUGAUCGUCAUUGUACACGAUAACCUAGAAAUAAUGUUUGUCAUGUAGGUACUUGAUCACAAUUCCCUAAUGUCAGCAGUGCUGAUUGAUAAUUAUGAGAAUUAAAUAUGCCAAAUAAAUUGUGCAAUAUAGCAUCAUAGUUUUUCAACCACUCGCUCAACAUUGAAAGGAAGUGACGAUGCCUCAAAACGCUUGAAUGAUGUUCACUAAAAUCAAAUUUUGGACAGAAAUGCAUCAAACUCGAAAGUUGUCUAUUGUAUUGCUAUUCUUCAAAUCAAAAUCCCAUUUAGGUCUUCAGCAUGAACAUAAGCUCAGAUCUCACUAAUAUUUUCAGCAGCAUCCAGCAUCAGUUUGAGCAGAAUCUGUUUAUGAUGCUAUAAAACUGAUGUUUUAACAUAUUAAAACAACGAUAUAAAUACAUGUAGUCUCAAAAACCAGUGUGCAAGUUUUGAAUAGAUUUUAGUUUGAAUAAAUAACUUCUCUGAAAAACAAAUCUAAUGUUAUUGCAUUGUUAAAUUUUAAAUAAUUUUAAGCUAUUAUUAACUGUUAUUAUUGUUUUUCUUCAUAGGUUAUGGGUCCACAGUCCAUUCAGUUUGUCAGAAAUAUGAUAACCAAACUACAGGCUCAGCAAGUCAGUAUAUUGAGAUUUAUAGCCUGUACCGAGAUAUUUAUUAUGCCAGCUGUCUUUUUAAUGACAUUUACGUAAGUGUUUUUAAUAUGAAAAAGAAACUAUGGAAAAUUGAAACGGAUGAUUCCUUAAGGUUAAUCCAAAUUUUCUGUAGGUUUGAGGCAUUUGACUCAUGGACUUUAACAGGGUUAUAUUGUAUUUUCUUAACAUUUUGAAGGUGAAAAUCAGCUAUUUCAAGUAUUAUGAUAUAAAAUGAGAUGUGGUAUGAUUGUCAAUGAGGCAGCUUUCCAAGGGAGACUAAUUGAUGACUGUCUUUAGGUCACCAUACACCUUUAAGAAUGAACAAAUUUUGUAUGGUGAUGUAAACUUUAAAAGGCAUGUAAAAAUAUGAAACAAUUCAAUAAAAAAACAGAUUUAUGCUUAAUACAAUAUUUAAAAAUCAAAUUUGGUAGACAACCAAUGAAAAAAAACCUAGGCUCCUAACUUGAGACAGGCGCAUAAAGACCUAAAGUAUCAAUAUUCUAGAAAACCUGUAUCUUUCUUGCUCAGCUAAAACAGCAGAAGUUCUUACCAUUGAAAAUGUUACAUAGGUUUAAUUUUACAUUAGCAGUGUUCUCCCCAGGAUUUUUGUAUAGCGCUGUGGUAAGCGCGUAAUUUUCGACAAUUCUCAGUAACUUUAUCGCGGCGUGCGGUUUGUUUGUAAUUGAUUUGUUAUGUUUUUAUUAUAUCAUGCUGUUGAUGUUUUCCUCUGUUAUGAUGUCCUUGUCAUGCUCAUGGAAGUACAGUGUAUCCCUUAAUGAUGCUUUGUUUGUUAAUGUUAUUGUCUGGAUAUAAAGUCUGAAGAGUCUUUUUUUCCAUUGUAAAUUCAUAUAUUAAAUCCUCAUACUAUCUAUGUAUAAACUGAAGGAAGAGUCUUUUUCCAUGAUGGAUCUACACCAGACUGCUGGCCAAGAUUUCUUAGCACCAUCAGGUAAUGUUGCAGAACAUGUAGGACCAAUAAUAAAGUCAUUGUCAGCUUCUGUUUGGUUUUGUAACAAACUGUAGCAGUGUACUGUUUACCUUACGACGUUUGACAGGAAUUGACAUUUUUUAGCAUAAAGAUUUCUCAUUUUUAUGACCUAAACGUUUUAUAUAUUUAAAUGGCCUCAUCCAAGCUGGACAUCGAGAAAGUAAAAGUUCUCAAGUCGUAUCAGCUUGGGGUUUGUUUUGCUAAUCAAAUUGUUAUCAAAUGGAAGAAUUUCUGACUAAAUUAUAAGUUCAAAUAGGGAUAAUAUAAUAUUUAAAAGACUUGAUCAUUUUCGGGGUUCGUAAUGGAUAGUAAACCAGCAAAUAAUUUGUAACAAACCCUGUGUUUGAUCGUUUUUUAAAAUCAUCGUUUGUUCAAAGUUCGUAAAACAAGUUUGUGAGUGACGUCGGGAAAUGCGGUCAAUUCAUUUCAUCACAUUUCAUCAUAUAUGGCCUCUAUAUUUUCUUUAAAUUAAAAAAAUCGAUGUCAAUGUUUGAAAUCUUGUUUUAUUUUGAUCUUCUAAAAACGCAUUUUGUAAAAUUUAUUAGACUGGUCCCGCGAAGUUACUUUAAUACAACGGAAAUAAUUCAUUCAAAAAUCGUAAACCAGUCGAUCACGUGAUCCGAAGUGAAAAAUAGUGGGAAAUUUGAAAAAAACGGAAAAAAAUAUAGCGACGCGGUUGCGUUGGAUAGCGCUGCGGUCAGUGCAAUAGGACAGCGGGGAAUUGCAAUAGCGCUGAAAAGCGCUGUGCUAAAACGGCCUGGGGAGAACACUGAUUAGUACAAGGAACUCCUUGGCUAUCAUACAUGUAUAGCAUAUUUUUAAUUGUAUGUAGACACAAUGGUUAUUACUCUUUUCCUACUAAACAAAGCAACAAGAACAAAUGUCAUUACAAAAGUAUGUUUAUCGCCAAGUAAAAUUAAGAAUGGAAAUGGGGAAUGUGUCAAAGAGACAACAACCCAACCAUAGAACAGUAGAAGGUCAUCAAUAGGUCUUCAAUGAAGUGAGAAACACCUCCACCCGGAGGCGUCCUUCAGCUGGCCCCUAAAUAAAUAUAUAUACUAGUUCAGUGAUAAUGAACGCCAUACUAAACUCAAAUUGUACACAAGAAACUAAAAUUAAAAAUAAUACAAGACUUACAAAGGCACAAGGCUCCUGUUUUAAAUAAAUUUAUUUAUUUUUUCCUGAUUUUAAAUAACUCAAACAGUAUACAAAAUUCAAGCAUUUCCAUAAGGUUUUAUAAAAUAAAGUGUUUUUUUUUUUUUUUUACCAUUUGUACCAUACGAGAAUUGUUUGUUUGAUUAAUCAUGCACCAUUGAUAUAUUUGUAUUACAGUGGUAAAUGUUCCUUGUUCCUACCAAUUAUGAUUAAUGAUUAAUUAUGCACAAUUGAUAUAUUACAGUGGUAAAUGUUCGCUGUUCUUACCAAUUAUGUUCUUACAGUGGUAACUGUUCACACUAUGAUUAAAUGAUUAAUUAUGCACAAUUGAUAUAUUACAGUGGUAAAUGUUCGCUGUUCUUACCAAUUAUGAUUAAUGAUUAAUUAUGCACAAUUGAUAUAUUACAGUGGUAAAUGUUCCUUGUUCUUACCAAUCAUCUACUACAGAUUUCUUCUUCUAAGAUAUUCUUCCAGGAGAAACCCAUAUUGCAGGUAAAUUAAGUCAAUUAUUAGUGUGUGAUGGAAGGGGAGAUAACUGCAAUCAGAAACAUGAACAUGGUUAGAAAAAUUAUUGUUAUCUCCUUUUUUACAUGUUGCAGAAAUAUAAAUUAAAGAUAUGUGGCAAAGCUUCAGACUUCUGACAAAAGAAUGUGUAUUGUGUAUUCUCAGAAACAUCAUAACAAACUGUAGUGUAAUAUACAUUUUAGUUUUAAGACAGCUUUAUGUAGUACAUUUAGUAACAACUCAUUGUAAAAUAUAGCAUGAUUUGAUAUAAAUGUGUGAGUAUAAAUGUAUUUAAAAUUUUAUUAUUUAUUCGUACUGUGGAUUCAUAAUUAUUUGGAUACCAAUUUUCAUAGAAUUCAUGGGUAAAGAGAUUUUUUAUUUUUUUUUAUUUAUGAAAAGGAUACUGUUGCUGUUAUGCAAAAACCUUGUAUCUCAAUUUUUUGCGGAAAUCUUUUUAUCGAUUAUUUAGGAUUAAAUAUGUAUGUUCCACUGUAUGCGAAAAUAUCUGAUCUUCUAACCAAUCAUUUAUCUGAAUUCUGACAUGUGACGAAAAAGUGUAGUCGGAUUGGUGAGACUUUUUUUUUUUGCGAAAAUAUCUAAUCUCAAAAGAAAAACCCUUUGCACGGCAGCUGACAUUAUAACAGGUAAAGUUUUAUCAAUUUUAGGUUCUCAAAGCUAAUAUAUUAGCCAAAGCUAAUAUAUUAGCUUAAAAAUAAUGAAAAGCUUUGAAAAUACAAUAUAGGUGCAGAAAUUUUUGCUCGUCUUGGUCAUUGAUUGGUUAGAAGAUCAGAUAUUUUCGCAUACAGUUGAACAUACAUAUUUAAUUCUAAAUAAUCGAUAAAAAGAUUUCAGUUUUUACUGCCUUGUGUAAAAUUAUCAAAACCUUAGAUACGAGGUUUUUUCGUAACAGCGACGAUACAUAGAUUACAAGAAUGUGUCCCUAGUACAUGGAUGCACCAUCCGCACUAUCAUUUUCUAUUUUCAAUGGACCACGAAAUUGGGAGAAAAACUCUAAUUUGGUAUUAAAAUUAGAAAGAUCAUAUCAUAAGAAACAUGUGUACCAAGUUUCAAGUUGAUUGGACUUCAACUUCAUCAAAAACUACCUUGACCAAAAACUUAAACCUGAAGCGGGACAGGCGCAUGGACGAACAGAUGCACAGACAGAUGAACGAACUGACGCACGGAGGCACAGACAAUAAAACAUAAUGCCCAUAAAUGGAUCAUAAAAAUCAUCAUCACUACCAAAAUGUGUUUUGCAUACUGCUUCAGUAGAUUUUGAUUGACAAAACAAUCAAAGAAUCUAUUGGUAUAAAAGUUGUUAAGAAUAAAAAUCUAUAGAAGGUAUACAAUAGCUUGAAAUAGCAAGCAACCAAACAAUACAUGUUAUUAUGCUGAAAUAUAAGGUUUUCAUAGCAUGUCAUUACUUUAAAAAGCUGCAAAUGUUAAUUCAUAUGAUAGUUAUUCAGUUCUUAAAGUUUUCUUGUUGUUUUGUAGGACUCUGUUCCAUGAACUAAGAGUAAGUAUAGAAUAUUUAUGUAGCAAGCCUCAGUGUCCAGCUAUGGUGAGGAACAUGUUAACCAAGAUCACAGCUUUUGUUUCAAGGCUGGCUCCUACUGUAGCAUAGAAGUGAUCUCCAAUCAGAAGGUGAGAAUGUUGGACAGGAAGUACAGAGUGUGUUCUGUUUGAAAAUAAGAUAUUGUGUUCAGAUGUAUCAGAAGAGGAUUGUAAUGGAUGUGAACAUUGAGAAGGAUUUGUGAUAUGUUGUCAUAGUAAUUUGUGACUAUUUUAUGUUUUCCAAAAUAUUGGAGUAAAAUAUUUUCUUUAAUAAUAAGCUUUAGUAUUUUAUACUCUAAAAACAAAUUAAUAACAAAAAUACUGUACUGUCAGAAAAUAGGGGAUUUUUGUAACAUUACCAAUGAAAAAUUUGUCUUUUUGUAGCUGAAAACAUGUAAAUCAUUUUUAUUUGGAACAAGUUUUCACUGUUUUAUGCCCUAUACCUAAGAUUACCCAUGUCUGUUCUCUUAUAAUUUUGAAAUCCAAAAGUUGUCUAAUUAAGAGAUAACUGUAUUGUAUUUGAAGCUUUAAGGACGUCCAUGGGUAGUUUUACUGUCGCAAAUUUAGUUUACCUGGCGACGCGUAGCAUAGACAGGUAAACGGGUAUUUGCGACAAUAAAACUACCGAUGGUUUGCAAAGCUCCAAAUACAAUACAGUUUUCUCUGUUCUAAUGCAAAACAAGUUCAUAAUAAAAUUUCAAUCAUUAUUUCAGUGUAAAAUCUUCAUUAAAGAAAAUCCCGCGAAAAGAUGUUAUCUUCUCUGGCCCCUACACUAGGUGAAGUCAUAGGUAUGCUACUGGUGUCAAACAUUAACACCGGUGCGUUUCUAGCUUCUGUGCCGCUUCAGAAUGUAAAAAAAAUUGAUAAAAAGAAGAUUUUUAGGUGCAACAUGUGAGUUUUUUGGCUUAUUAUUGUAGAAAUUACAUGUCAAUACAUUCAGCAAUUCAAAAUGUCGUCUACCUUAGUUAUAGACAAGGAGAUAGAGAAUUUUACGCUAACUGUCAUCCAAUCAGAACCAUUGAUACAAAAUAAUUGCAUUAGAAUAGGUUUUUUAUAUCACACCUAGCCAAUAAUGAGAAUUUGUUUGGUUUGUAAGUGUAUAGUGAUGAGUAACAGAUCAAUAUCUAUUUAAUGAAGAAACAUUUAUUCAGUAUAACUUACAACAAUUUGAGUUUUAAGAUUGCUUAUGACAAAAACCCCUAGAUACGUUUACCCACAUUUGCUGACACAAUGGUUUUUUGGUGUCCAUUUUGAAAUGUUCACUCUAUUUUUUGGGAGCAGUCCAGGUAUUAAUGUUAUAACAUCAUAAUUUACCAUAAGGACCAACCAUCAUUAUUUGUGUAGUUCAUUUUUUCACCAGCAGAUGCAUUUUUAUUUUUCACUUUUUGGGACAUAACUAAGUUGUAAAACUUGUGUCUGAUCCAUGUCAUUUUGAACAAUAAAAUAUGCUUUAAAAAAAAUUUGUAAUUGCUUUUUUCUUUUGUAGUAAACAAUUUCAUUAUUGUAAGAUAAUGGUAGACAUUUUUUUCUCUGACUUGAGAACUCUUAUUGGUAUUGUCCUUUUGACAGAAAUACUCUUAAAAUUGAAAUUUACUCCUUCAAAGUUGCUGCAUUGAAAUCAUUGUGUUAGUAAACUUGGUUAUUUAUUAUAUUAUUCAGUGUAAUAUUGUAUAUCAUAGAUGUUACAGUGAUAAACAAACUACUGUGGAUUCAGUAUUUUUCAUUGGAUUUCAAUUUUUCGUGGAAUUUCGUGGGAACAGUAAAACCAAGAAAUUAAAUGUUCAAAGAAUGACAAAUUUUUCAGUAGGCAUGUGUGCAGGUUUCUGCAAAACCACGAAAUAAAAUACCCACGAACAUGCACAUUUUCCUUAAUCCAGGAAAACUGAUACCCAAAAAAAUAAAUAAAUUCACAAUAUAUUUGGAAAAUGAUGUUUGCUUACUAAACUUUGUGAAAUAUUUAGGUCUGAGCUGUUUUCAGAUACAUGUAUAUAGGUGUGCAAUAUAAUGUAUUUAUAAACUUCUUGUCAAUUGUUUUUGUUUACAGUGACAGUUAAAUAUUAGUAGUUAAUUUCUCACAGUAGGCAAAGACACUAAUGUAACUAUGUUGUUGUGUAUAUAUUUUUAUAAAGAUAGAUAAUUUUCAAUGCUGAAUUUAUACAACACGCUACAAUUGUAGUGAGGUAGCAAUACCAAGGAAACAUCUAGAUACAGUGUAGGGGCCUCAGUGGCCAAGUGAUCCAAGUAUUUCUACUACAAUAAUCACUAGCAGGUCAACACUGAGGUUGUGAGUUAGAACUCAGCUCAUGGGGGUGCACUAGACUCCAAUCUUAAAUGACUAUGAUUGUUAGUUUUCCUAUCAAAGGUCAGUGAUUUUCAUUGGGCACUCCAGCUUCCUCCACCAAAAAAAACCUAACCACCACGAAAUAGCCAAAAAGUGGCGCUUAAAAGUGGUUUUCAAACACCAACAAUCAAUCAAUCAAUAUUAUAGAUACAGUGUAAAAGGGAGACCACUGACAUAAAUCUUAUGAAGCAAUUUUAUAAUAUUCUCAAUUAGAAACGGCAUUUACAUCAAUAGAAUUAGCAUUGGUCUUUUUAGUGAUCACAUUGUCAUUUACAUCCUAGUCUUUUUAGUGAUCACAUGGUCAUUUACAUCCUGGUCUUUUUAGUGAUCACAUUGACAUUUACAUCCUGGUCUUUUUAGUGAUCACAUUGUCAUUUACAUCCUGGUCUUUUUAGUGAUCACCAAUGGUCAUUUACAUCCUGUCUUUUUUAGUGAUCACAUGUCAUUUACAUCCUGGUCUUUUUAUUGAUCACAUUGUCAUUUACAUCCUGGUCUUUUUAGUGAUCACAUUGACAUUUACAUCCUGGUCUUUUUAGUGAUCACAUUGUCAUUUACAUCCUGGUCUUUUUAGUGAUCACAUUGUCAUUUACAUCCUGGUCUUUUUAGUGAUCACAUUGGUCAUUUACAUCCUGGUCUUUUUAGUGAUCACAUGGUCAUUUACAUCCUGGUCUUUUUAGUGAUCACAUGGUAAUUUACAUCAAGGCCUUGAAGGCAUAAAACUUUGAUCAGUGCUCGGUGCACAAAAAUCAUGCUCGAAACAUGAAAUCCAGCAGUUUGAUUGGUUGAUUUUCGAGUCUGAGUACAAAAAUCAUGCUCGAAAGUUUUAUGAACCGUGAGGCCUGGUCUUUUUAGUGAUCACAUUGACAUUGACAUCCUGGUCUUUUUAGUGAUCACAUUGACAUUUACAUCCUGGUCUUUUUAGUGAUCACAUUGACAUUUACAUCCUGGUCUUUUUAGUGAUCACAUUGACAUUUACUUCCUGGUCUUUUUAGUGAUCACAUGGUUAAUUAUUCUAGUGUUUCCUGAACAAAUUCUCUUUCCAUGAUAGUUUUUCCUCUGAAGGAAAGUUAUUUAUUUCUCAACUAUGACAUCACAAUAAUAAGAUUAUUCUGAAUAUGCAUUUAACAAUAAACAUGUUUAAUAUUUGCCACUUGAAUAAUAGGCAAUCAUACUUUUAACAUUGAGUUAUUUUAAUAACAUUAGAACAUGACAAUGAGGUGGAAGAGAGAGAAAGAGACUUGGUCAAAUCAAUAACAUUUAUGUCUUUCCAAAAUAUUUGGAAAUGAUCACAUUUUUGAUUUAAAAUGUCACCUUUUUUUCUUGAAAAUAUUUGAAACAAUUAAGUUUUAUAUGUAUGGCGUAUGCUAAUCAGAUUUUCAUUGUAAACAGAUGUGGAAAAGAUUGACCUUUGCUGUCCUAGUGAGAACAGGACAAAUUCAUUGUUUUUUUAAUUUAAUUUUCAAACUUUUCAUAUAUUGUAACAAGUCUUUAUGAGAGUAAACGAUGUUAAAUAUAUUUAUGUUUAAAAAUCUAGUCCUUUCAAUGGAUGCUUGAACAAUUCAAUUAAAACAUCUUUUCUACCAGUUAUGUGUAUAUGUUACUGUCUUGUUUUAUUUAGAUAAAAAAAAGGUGCAAUGUAUACAUGAAUGAGACUGCAACCCAACAACAACAAAAAUCAACCCAAAAGAUUAACAUGCAUUCCUAUUUGAUUUUGAAAUAGCCUUCAAUGCAAUUUUUAACAUUUUCUCAGUACACACAUAAUGCAUCAUGUAUAAUGUACUCUUGGUGAAGUUUAAUACACAAUGACUGCUUGUGACCCAUGAAAAUAAAUGAAUUCACAGUAUGCCAAUAUAUAGGUCACACAUACAUUUCUGGCAUUACAAGUUGUCACAAAAUUGAAUAGAAGGAAAUGUUAGGAAAACCAGAUGACAAAAAAUUAGCAAAAAACAUUUAAAGGACACUUGUCAUUAUUAUUGGCCUCAAACAAAUAUCUACAAUCAGAAUCAGUCACAAACACAUACCUGAUACUUGAUAACAAAAUACUUGUCUGUCAAUAAAUAUAUACAAC